rnacentral:lncRNA from 1 species
GAUUAUUUACAAUGUUCACUCUGUUGUGCCACAAAUUACGUACAGACAAACAUUCAAAGAGUAGAAACAAAAUAAAAGUAAUAAGAUAGUAUGAUCAAAAUAGGUACAUGUGUAUAUAGCAAGUGGGCUUGACAAUUUAACCCAUAAAAUUCCUAAUCUCAUUAUUUGAUGAUGGAAUAAAGUUUAUUUAACAAAUUAUAACAAAGUUGAUUUUUCCAAACCAACCCAAUUUCCAAUAUCGUGCGUAACAUACAUGAAUAUGAAAUUCUCCUCUCACUCUUCCCUCUUCACCUAUGAUAUCACAGUUAUGGAAAAAAGAUCAAAACAAGUCCGCUUUUUAAUUAAAAAAUUUAGCAUGUUCAGUCUAUACUUUCUAUAUUAUUUCAAUCAUCACAAACAAAAAAACAAUGCAGACCAACACUUAUUUACAUCUUACGGUAUGAACCAAACAACUGAGUUAAUAAGCAAAUCGGGUGAAAUCGAUAAAAGAUUGAGAAAUCAGACACUAUUAGAGUCAUAUGCAAAUGGAGUGCAAAAAGGAGAGGAAAUGAAAAUAACUACAGUUUUAAAUUGUUACUCAAACUGUAAUAUCCACCAUAUGUCGAAUUUGUAUACCAUCUUGAAUUUGAACACUAACUUUUGUUAGCCGAACAACACAGACAAAACAUAAUAUGACAUUUGCCUAAACCAGAAUGUUACCCAAAGUUAUUAUUGACACGGCAGCGAUUUGAGUGCGGGUACAAAGGAUUUUCCGUCGUUCAUGAAAGUAACCGCAAUAUUUUGCAAUUCGGGACAGACAAGGGAGCCACCGAGUAUGCUUCUUCCAAAAAUGUUAAUCUGUUAUUUUCCUUCGUCAAUAGAUUCCUCCAAUCCACGGUCCGGCGACGGAAAUGAAAGCUUAAAGGGCAGUCAGAUCUUGGACUGGAGGCGAGGAUUUUUUGUCGGAGAUGAAAAAUGAGGUUUUGUUUGCCGAUGAGGAGUGAGGUGACGUGCGAAGGCGACGGCGCAGCCGAGAGACUUCGCGGCGGAGAAGGUUUUGGCGACGGUGGUUGUGAAGUGGGCUAAGGAUGAUGGCGGCGGAUUUAAGGUUUAAGAUGAUAGGUGGUUAGGGCGAGUGAGAUCGAUGGUGUGGAGAUGGAGGAAGUUGUGAUGGUCGAGGUGAGGGCGGAGAUGGAGGUUUCUGGUGGAGGAAAGGUUGGAUGCAGAGUGUCCGAAGGAGAAGGUUGGUGCGGAGGUGGAGCGGAAGUUUCGUCGGAAUGAAGAAGGUGGUUGUGUGGUUGUGUUCGCCGGCGAGGGAGGAGGCGAAUCGGAGAAGGCGGUGGUGAGAAGAUUGUGAACAGUGGUCGUGGCGGAGAUGUUUGGUGGCGGUUUUGUGGUGUUGUGGUGGCGGUGGUGUGAUUGAGGAAGAUGGAGAGGAUGAGUUAGUGUGAGGUGUGAGGUGAGAGCCCAGAGAAUUUGUAACGUGGCCCCCUAUUUAUUAAGUGAAAAGAGAGUUAUAUUAUGGUGAGAGAGACGCGUGUGGUAGAAAAGAGAGUAUUUUGUUGAGUGGGUUCCUGCUCUCUCUCUCUCUCUCUCUCUCUCUCUCUCUCUAACGUUCGUAGUGGGUAGGUUGUUACAACCUUUUUAUUUUAUUUCUUAUUUUUUAUUUUUGAACCAAGAGAGAGAAUUUGAGGAGUACUUUUAGAAGAGGAAAAGUCCUCUUUUUUUCUUUCCCACAGAGUCAUGAUGAGAGCCGCCUUCCUAUUUUCUUCCUAGUGGAGAGAGAUCCCAUGUAGUAAAUGGUGUGGUUUUUUUGUCUUUUUCUAUUUUUUCCUUUUUUUUUAGAGAGUGAAUUGGUUGGAAAUGGUUUUGCAUCCUUAAGCCUUCACGUGACCAGCUGUCACACCUCCCUUCUCUUUUCGUUGGAUGCCCAGCUAGAGAGAGGGAUUCUAGAAGGAGAUUUUUAUAUGUUAUUUAAUAUUACUCUUUAUUUCUAUUUGAUGAUUGGAUAAUAGAAAAUGGGUAUUGAUUGCAAAUGAGGACCAUUGAUUAAUUUGAAUCAACCAUUCAGAUUAAAUCAAAAAAAAACAAACCAAUCAAAAUUGCAAAGUUAUCUUUUUUUAGAUGAUUUAAUUAAUUUAAAUGGGAUUAAAUCAAUCAAUUCAAAUAAAAAUUCACAACUUCCUAAAUAAACAUGAUAAAAUUAAAAUGAAGAUAUGGAAAUUCCCAUUUAUUUAAUUUGAAUAUUUUGGCGAAAGAAUAAAAUUAAAAUGACUAAAAAUGAAUAAAAGUCGGGCGAAAAUUUGCUCAAAAGAUUAAAUCGGAUGCACUAAAAUGAUCAGCACGAAAUAUACUUAUUGAAAAAAUACAACGUUUCUUUGAAUUUUGAAAUAAAUUUUCAACGGUUAAAAGGCCCAGACUGGUCAAAAUGCAACUAAAAAAGUCACUGAAAAAAAUACAACGAGCACACCAAAUUAAACUACGUGAACCAUAGAUUAAUAAUACCGACAUCUACAAUUUUAAUUUUGAAACUUUUUACCCGCUGAUUUUGCACGUAUUUGAGAAACGGAUUAACCAAUUUGUCUGUAUUUUCCAAGAAUUUAUUCCGACUGAUAUUUUAGGUAUUAUUCAUGAUGGAAUGCAUGUGAUGCUGUGUAUAUGAUGCAAAUUGAAAAUGAAAUCAGAUUUACGAAAACUUAAAAUGCCUGGACAAAAUAGGGGUAUGACAGGGUGCAGCUGGAAAUUAGCCACGUUCACUCGUUGGUUGACAAUAGUUAAUCUGUCGGUUUAUGCAUUGGCACCUCCGUAGUCUCCCAACUGUCUUUCUGCUGGCGAUGGAACAUCAACCAUAGUUUCGAUCUCUCUAUCGGAACCUGAAUCUGAGUUGUAAUGGAUGGAAAGUUGUUCUUCGUCUUAUUCCAAUCUGGCUAAUCGAGCUUGUCUGAGUCUUGCUCGCAAGGUUCUCUCGAUUUCUGCGUCAAAAGGAAAAUCAACUGAGGCCUUACCUCGCAUACAAAUAUCAGACACAGAUUAGUUGAUAUAAUAGAAAUAAAAUAUUCAAAAUACGGAAAAUAAAUUUUAGUUGCAGAGCAACAAAAUUUCAAUUGAGAUAAUUUUAAACUUAUAUUUGGCAAUUCCUGGCAACGGCACCAAAAACUUGAUCAGAAAAAUAGCAAGUGUACUAUUUUGGCCGAUGUAGUAAUAAGAGGGAUGUUUCCCAAAGAUCGAUAUCGAGUAUUGCGAGCAAUAUAAGAGUAAACAGUCACUCAAUUGAACAAAAGUGAGAGUUUGGGUUUGGUACAAUUUACUGUAAGGAAGAAUAAAACAAAUAAAUAUUUUCACAAAUUAAUAUGAUAUGCCAAGGAAGGUGUAUAAACAUCUCCUAUAAUGACCCUUGAGUGUAUAUCUCCUUAAUACUGAACAUUAUUUCAAUUACCGGAUCUUAAGAUUAUUUACCCCUAAGACCUCGGAGGGAAACCUUUGGUAUUCAAUCUAACCUCUAAGUCCUAAGGUGAUUAUGGUGAAACCAAGCAUUUUAAUUUAACAAGAAUAAUCCGGUAACCAUAGGGUAUCCCUAGUCCUAGGUGAUAUCUACUAUGGUUUCACUAUAUGAAAACCUUAACCAUUGCAGUCCUGUUAAUCGUUAACCAUACAUCAAUCUUAACUUUUGCCAUAAAGAAAGCAUUACGCGAAUCAUAUAGUGAAAUUGAAAUCAAAUAACAUAUAUUAAGGAAAAUCUAACAUCAGAGUCAUUACAUGAUCAAUUCAGGGACACCCCCUGGCAUUGGGGGGUUUAGCCUAUCAUAUUAUUCAAAUCAGAUACAAUAUAAAAUUGAGAAAUUACAAAAAGUUUAGAAUUACGUUGAUCUUCAAUCGCGUCCGCUCUUGAAGGAUCUUCGUUCUUAUUCGCUUUCCACUCCUUCAAUCUUGAUUGUCUCCAAUUUUCUAUCGUGUAAAAAGACCCUUUCUCCAUAUUCAAAUCUCCUGUAAAUAGUUCCUGAUGACAAUUUUUCUCGCGUAAAAGUCCAAACUGCCCUCCGGGAUAAGUUGUGCCAAAAAACACAUAAAAUUAGAAAAUCAAGUACCCAGGUCAACACUGGCCGUGUCAGGAAACACGCCAGGCCGUGUUGGCUUCUGAGGUACAAGGCCUUGACACGCCUGCUCAGGGAUGCUAACACGGGCACCCGUGUCAGCUCCCUAUUUUCCUCUUCCAUGCCCUUUCUCCUAACACAGCCCGUGUUGGCCAACAUGGGUGGCCGUGUCAGGGCUACUGUAAGUCCAUUUUUCUUCUCCCGACGGGCCCAGAACGCCUGUUUUGCUUGUCUAUCCCUCUGGUACACUUGUUUACACCUGAAACCAAAAGAACUACCAUAAAAGGACAUAAAAUGGAGUAUGAUGAUGCAUAGAAUAUGUACUCAUUAAAUGGAGAUAACAAUACCAAACAUAUAAAUAACUAAACAAAAUAAUAAAAUAAGUGGACUAAUGUGUUACCGACUUCUUACAAAGGUGUCGAAUGAGUGUCAGAAAACAAGGAGGAUUGGAGACUGAUCACAUGCAGAUCUUGUUUAAUUGGAAAGAUGAUAAAGUCUCCAUUCACAAGAAAAGGUGAAAGAGCUAAUGAUCUUUUGGCCCUCAUACAUACUGAUGUAUGUGGACCACUGAACAUACCAGCCAGAGGAGGUUUUCAGUACUUCAUCACAUUACUUGAUGAUUUCAUUAGAUACGGUUAUGUGUAUUUAAUGAAACACAAAUCAGAGUCCUUUGAAAAGUUCAAGGAAUUCAGAAUGAAGUACAAAACCAACUAGGUAAGAAUAUUAAAACUCUUCGAUCAGAUCGAGGUGGUGAGUAUUUAGCCUAGAGUUUGAUGACCAUCUGAAAGAGUGUGGGAUCCUACCCCAACUUACUCCUCCUGGAACACCCAAUGGAAUGGUGUAUCUGAGAGAAGAAAUUGAACCUUGUUAGACAUGGUCUGAUCCAUUAUGGGUCAUAGCCGAUCUUCCAAACUCUUUGGAACAUGCACUAUUGACAGCAGCUUACACACUUAACCGUGUUCCAUCUGAAAAGGUUGAGAAAGACACCAUAUGAGAUAUGGAGUGGUAAAAACCACAUAGUGUCUUACAUGAAGAUUUGGGGUUGCGAAGUUUAUGUGAAAUGACAAAUUUCAACUAAGCUUGAGCCCAAAUCUGACAAAUGCUUAUUUGUGGGGUAUCCUAAAGAAACAAGAGGGUAUUACUUCUACAAUGCUUCUGAGGGUAAAGUGUUUGUCGCUCGAACUGGAGUUUUCCUAGAAAAGGAUUUUAUUUCUAAAGGAAUCAGUGGGAGGAAAGUAGAGCUUGAAGGGAUUCAAGAAUCAUAAAGCAUUGAUACACCUAUGGAGGAAUUAGAGUAGGAAACACAAGUAGUUGUGGAAGAGCAACCUGUUCAAGUAGAACAAGACCAACGUAGGUCAAUCAGGAUACGUCACCUACCUGAGAGAUAUGGAUAUCUCAUAACUGAUCAAGGUGAUAUAUUACUCAUGGAUCAAGAUGAGCUUGUGACCUACCAAGAGGCCAUAAUUGGUCCUGAGUCUAAGAAGUGGCUAGAAGCCAUGAAAUCUGAAAUGGAUUCCAUGUACACAAACCAAGUUUGGACCUUGGUAGAGCCUCCUGUAGGAGUUAACACUAUAGGAUGCAAGUGGGUAUUCAAAAAGAAGACUGGCAUGGAUGGUAAGGUAUAUACUUAUAAGUCAAGACUAGUUGCAAAAGGAUAUAAACAAAUUCACGGGGUUGACUAUGAUAAAACCUUUUCACCAGUUGCAAUGCUUAAAUCUGUUCGGAUUUCACUUGUUAUCGAUGCAUAUCAUGAUUAUGAAAUAUGGCAUAUGGAUGUCAAAACUGCUUUCCUUAAUAGGAAUCUUCUUGAGGAUGUGUACAUGACACAACCUGAAGGAUUUAACAUACCAGACGAAGCCCAAAAGAUAUGUAAGUUACAAAGAUCAAUAUAUGGAUUGAAGCAAGCUUCCAGAAGCUGGAAUCUUCGUUUUGAUGAAACAGUAAAACAAUAUGGAUUCAUCAAGAACGGAGAUGAGCCUUGUGUCUACAAGAAGGUUAGUGGGAGCAUGAUCAUUUUCCUGAUAUUAUAUGUAGAUGACAUAUUACUCAUUGGAAACGAUGUCCCUAUCCUGCAACAAGUAAAGUCUUGGUUGGGGAAAUGAUUUUCUAUGAAGGACCUGGAUGAAGCAGCCUAUAUAUUGGGAAUCAGGAUCUAUAGAGAUAGAUCACAAAAACUGCUUGGCCUAAGUCAGAGUACAUACAUAGAUAAAGUGAUGAGACACUUUAAUAUGCAUGAUUCUAAGAAAGGUUUCAUACCUAUGUAACAUGGCUUGUGUCUAUCAAAAACACAAUCCCCUUCAACUAAGGAAGAAAGGGAUCACAUGAAUAAUAUUCCAUAUGCAUCGGCAAUAGGAUCUAUCAUGUAUGCCAUGUUAUGUACUCGACUAGAUGUCUCGUAUGCUUUAAGUGCAACGAGUAGGUACCAAACUGAUCCCGGUGAUGCUCAUUGGGUAGUUGUCAGGAAUAUCCUUAAGUAUAUGAGAAGGAAUAAGGACUCAUUCUUGAUAUAUGGAGGUCAGGAAGAGCUUGUUGUAAUUGGAUACACCGAUGCUAGCUUCCAAACAGAUAAGGAUGACUUUAGAUCGCAAUCUGGUUAUGUGUUUUGCUUAAACGGUGGCGUUGUGAGCUGGAAAAGUUCAAAGCAAGAUACAGUUACUGAUUCUACAACCGAGGCCGAGUAUACUGCUGCCUCAAGUGCAGCAAAGGAAGCUGUUUGGAUCAAAAAGUUCAUUAGUGAACUUGGCAUAGUUCCUAGCAUUAUGGAUCCCAUUGGUCUCUAUUGUGAUAGCAAUAGUGAUAUCGCACAAGCUAAGGAGUCUAGAUCUGACCAACGAUCCAAACACAUACUUAGGCGUUAUCACCUCAUUCGAGAGAUAAUAGAUAGAGGAGAUGUGAAAAUAUGCAGAGUACCUACACUUGACAAUAUUGUUGACCCACUGACAAAGCCUCUUGCGCGGGCAGAAGCAUGAUGGCCAUACUAGAUUUAUGGCCAUUAGGGGUAUGCCUGAUUGGCUCUAGUGCUAGUGGGGAUUUUGGUGUAAGCCUAGAGGCCAAUACUUUUUGUACUUAUAUCAAAUUAUUUAUUAUAAUAAAAGGCUUUCUUAUUAUGUUUGUUUAAUAAAGUCCCUAGAAUAGCUAGUCCGUUUAAUGUAUCAAGUGUGACUUAUCAUGAGAUCCCAUUAAAAUAAGGACAUUAUUCUUAAGUAUCCGUAUUCGAGCUUUAUUGUGAAAUGGAGUAACAUUAAGCAUUAAUACUAUUAUGUAUACAGACUGAUGUCACAUCUCAUGGAUCAUGGAUAGGAGUAUCAAGUUAACAUAAGGUAUGAAUAUUAAGAGUAAUAUUUAUACUGGAUUGACCCGCUAUGAGAAUACUAUAUAGAAUGUUAUGCAAAGUGUCAUAAGUUAUUUUUCGUGGUGAUAAUGGUGUAUACCACCCUUCGACCUAACCACUAUGGACCCUAGAUGUAGAGUCGAGUGCCUAUGUUGAUCAAACGUUGUUUGUAACAGGGAUGACCAAAAAGACAGUUGAUGGGUACUCCACGAAGCAUGCUGAGGGACAUGAGUGACCUGAUGGAAUUUUCUCAUCUGCAUAAUAGGAUAUGUCUACGGGCCAAUAUUGAACUGGACAAGAAUGACACGGUCUAUGCCUUAUGUCAAUAUAGACAUAAGGCAAAAGGGUAAUUGUACACAUAAGUAUUAUCACAAAAGGAUUUGUCAGAUCAUAUGACAUUUUCGUGUCUUGGGUAGCAGUGAUGUGUUGCUAGAUACGCUCACUGUUUUUAUGUUAAAUGCAUUGAUUUAAUAUAAUUGCCAAUGUCACGAAAACCACAUGGUCACACACAAAAUGACGGGAUUGAUGAGAGAUAGAGUAACUAAGGAACACGUAAGGUACGGUGUACUUAAGUGAAUUGUAGAACAUCGUAAGGUACGGUAUACUUAAGUAGAUCUGCAUCAAAGUUUUCAAUCGCCAACAGAGGUAACGAUUCUAUCACUGAUCAUGCCCAUUCGUAAGGAUCACUAAAGGAGAAUUUUAAAUUCCGUUGCGUUUUGGAUCGUUCUUCUCCUUCACACACACCACCACACACCAAACAACACCACACCACACACAUAUAUAUAUAUAAUAUAUAUAUAUAUUACUAUAUAUAAUAUAUAUAUAUAUAUAUAUUAUAUAUAUAUAAUAUAUUAUAUAUUUAUAUAUUAUAAUAUAUAUAUAUUAUAUAUAUAUAUUAAGAGAGCGAGAUCGAGAGAAGAGAAGAUGAAAGAGAGAGAGAGGAGGGGGGAGGGGGCUUUUUGCCCUCUUUUAGAUUGAGUUUCCCUUGUCUCCUUGAAUCUUUUCAUCUUCUUUUUGUUCAAAAGGUACCUUGCAUUUUGAGGUACCUUUCUUCCCUUCAACUUUUCAUUCCUGUAUUUUAUUAUAUUUUUGCUACUAUGAAGGAUAACCCUAUAUCCGUUGAGAGUGAUUUAGAGGGUAAUGUUUUUUCAUCUUAAAAAAAGGGAAUGGGUUCUUAUUCAAAUUUCGUCCCUUCUAACUGUGGGAAUUUCAAAUCGGAAGUCGUCCUCUUGAGUGAUGAUUCUGAAAUGGAAGGGUCGUCUGGAGAAUCUCUUUCAUACGAGGCUCAUUCUUGGGAAUCUUCAGAGACUUUAUUUCUAGAGAAACCUGAUAUGGGUUAAAAUCUCGUGGAAAAGCCGAUGUGUCCCCCUGUCUUAACCAAGGAAGAAAUAGAAGUUUUUUGUCAAAAGAGGGAACAUGACAGUUGUUUUGUUAAAACAUAUUGGGGAGUGACUGCUCAUGAUCCUAUAAAUGUUGAAAUUGUCCGUCACUUGGAGUUUUAGGUAUAGUCUGAUGUUGUGUCUUGAAUCAUCCUUGAUGAUCAUUAUAAAGAUGAUGUGUUAGGCUGAAAGGGACUCCAACUAGUAAAAUCGGCUAAUUCCAUUAGGUAUAAUUGGGUGGCCGUUGAAGUGGUUGGGACUUCCCCCGUCAGGAAUACAAUCGAGGUUGUAUUAAAAGCUGACAUUAAGGUCGGUAAUCCCUCGAAUUGGUUGAUUAUUCCCUGUAGCUAUUGGGGAGAGGAUAUGUAGCUCUUUUAAGGGUUAUUAAAUUCCUCUGUAUGAAUUUGUUUUCACUGAGUUAGGGGUAGUUUACCCUUAUCUGAUUUCGAAGUGGUUGUGAUAGGUCGCUUGAAAGUUUCCCCCUCAAAGCUUCAUCUUGGAGCUUGGGCUUAUAUGAAGGGGUUUUAACUCUUUGUAGAGCAUAAGUUCUGGAAACCUUCUUUGGAGGUUUUUUUUAGUCUUUUUUUCGUGGUCUGUACUUAUCAAGAUGAUACCCGAGAUCAGAAAUUGGUCUCCCUUCACCCCUAAGUGCCUUGGUACAUCCCUUUCACCACUUAUUGGUGUGAUUUUUUUUAAUGUUUUGUGCUGGUGAAACCUGACACUUUUGGGGCUCAUCUUACUUUUGUGUUAUCUUUGGACCCAGUAGUACACGCCCGCUCUUGCAAAAAUGGUUUUUUAAGUACUAGUCUAUAGCUCAUUUUCGCCAGCCUCUUUCUUCUUAUCACUCUAGGCUAAGCCCUUUGUCCCCCUCACAGCUUCAUCUCGGAGCUUGGGCUUAUAUGAAGGUGUUUUAACUCUUUGUAGAGCAUAAGUUCUGGAAACCCUCUUUGGAGAUUUUUUUCAGUCUUUUUUUCAUGGUCUGUACUUAUCAAGAUGAUACCCCGGAUCAGGGAUUGGUCUCCCUUCGCCUCUAAGUGCCUUGGUACAUCUCUUUCACCACUUAUUGGUGUGAUUUUUUUAACGUUUUGUGCUGGUGAAACCUGACACUUUUGAGGCUCAUCUUACUUUGUGUUAUCUUCGUACCCAGUAGUGCACGCCCGCUCUUGCAAAAGCGGUUUUUUAAGUACUAGUCUAUAGCUCAUUUUCGCCAGCCUCUUUCUUCUUAUCACUCUAGGCUAAGCCAUUUGUCCCCCUCACAACUUCAUCUCGGAGCUUGGGCUUAUAUGAAGGUGUUUUAACUCUUUGUAGAGCAUAAGUUUUGGAAACCUUCUUUGGAGAUUUUUUUUAGUCUUUUUUUUCGUGGUUUGUACUUAUCAAGAUGAUACCCGGGAUCAGGGAUUGGUCUCCCUUCGCCCUUAAGUGCCUUGGUACAUCCCUUUCACCACUUAUUGGUGUGAUUUUUUUUAACGUUUCGUACUGGUGAAACCUGACACUUUUGGGGCUCAUCUUACUUUUGUGUUAUCUUCGGACCUAGUAGUACACGCCCGCUCUUGAAAAAGCGGUUUUUUAAGUACUAGUUUAUAGCUCAUUUUCGCCAGCCUCUUUCUUCUUAUCACUCUAGGCUAAGCCCUUUGUCCCCCGCAGAGGUGAAAAUGGAAGAAAAACUAUGUGAUUGGUACCAAAAGCUCGGCUAUGAAGAAGGAUUUAGCCUUGGCGAGGAACUCCCUUCUCAGCAAAAGAAGAGAAGGAUUGAUACUUAUGUGAUUAUUUGUGCCCCUGGUCAUGUUGAGAGGGAGAAACUCUUUGUUAAGUAUGGGAGUCUGGGGCUUUUCUUAACAGCUUUAACCUUGCCUUGUAAAUAACAUGGAAUAAUUCCAUAAGGCUUAGUGCUCACCAAGUGUAAUAUUCCAUAUUCUCUUAAAUGCUCAAUUAGUUGUCAGUUGAGACCAAUUGAGUUCCUAUGUACUCUAACUAUUAUCAGUUGUAACAAUUUGAGCUCAUAUGUGCUCUAAGUAUUGUCAGUUUGGACCAAUAAAGUAACCAGUAAACUCUGAAGAGAUUAAUCAUUAAUAAAAGAGACAAACCAAUAUUAAUAAGUACAAGAGAGGACAUUUUUGGUAACAUUAAUAAUUGGUCAAUUGGUACUAGAAGAUAAAAUAUCAAUUGAGAUAUUUUAUAUUACUACCUAAUAUUAUAAUAUAUAUUAAUUAUAUGUUAUAUAUUUGUGUGGUGUAGAAAGGAAAAGAAGAAGUGGAUAAGAAUGAAGGAAAAGAGAGUUAGUAGGUAAGAGAGAAGGAGAGAUAUCAGAAAGAAAAAGAAAGGGAAGAGAUAAGAACAAGAAAAAAAGAGAAGAGAGGAGAAGAGAGAAAGAGGAAAGAAGAGCUUGGAGGAAAAAGAAGAAAAAAAACCAUGGAGGAUUAUCAUCUUCACCAACAUCAUCUCAUCUUUAUCAUCAUCAUCACCAACUUCAUCUCUAUUUCACCAUAUUCAUCUUCAAGGUGAGUUCUUAGAUAGAUUAGCCUUUAGGGGGGAAAUAAUAUAUAUUUUGGGAGUUAGGAUUGGUGUUAAUCUAUUGGAAUAAAUGGAGUUAACAGAUGAAUUUUUGAAGAAAAUUGAAGAACCAAUCGAUUGGUUCCUAUUGGUCCUCCCAUUCAAUGGAUUGGUUUAGCGAAAUUUUAUGAGAAAUCGAUUGGUUUAGUUAAAUUUUGUGAGAAAUCUCCAUUCAAUCGAUUGAUUCAUUUGAUCAAUCAAUUAACAUUAAUUAAUUCUUUGAUAAAUUAAAAUAUGCCACCAAUGAGGUUCAAACUCGGGACCUCCUUGGUAUGGUACACGCCUUACCACUGAGCAUCCACCAAACUUCAUGAAGAGAAUGCGAGAGCCCUCUGAAAAUUCAAAGAAAGCCAAGAAGGAUAAAUUGGGAGAAACUUCUGGGUCAGACCUCCAGUCCCUCUAGUUGAUUCUCCAAGUAAGUCUCUGCCUCCUUCUCGCUCUGUUAAAUUAAAGCCACUUGCUUCUUCUCUUCCCCAAACCACUCCCAUCUACACCCAAUCAGAAACACCACCCUCCACCACCAAACCCUAACCCACCUUCUCUAAAAUUCAAUCUCGCAACCACUACCUUACCCGUUUCUGAAGCAGAAAUGGUGAACAAAACCACCUCACCGUCUUCCUCUACACCUUCAUCCCCACCAUACUACAUUCUCUCAUCAGACACCGAACCUUCUGACCCCCAAUCCCCCACACUAGCCCAACUUCAGGAGCGUGCUCUUGCCUCACAACAACCACCACAACCUUGAAGGUGAGAAAAACAAGAAAGGGGGGGUUUGAAUUGUUUGAAAAAAAUAAGCGCUUUUGCAAAAUGAAAUCACACAAUGAUUUUAUACUGGUUCGCUUAUAACACAAAGCUACUCCAGUCCACCCGGCCAAGGUGAUUUCGCCUUCAAAAGGAUUAAUCCACUAAUCUUGAAAGAUUACAAACAACCCCUAAGAGAGAAGAAAAUCUCUUAGUCCUCUCAGUCUACAGACUACAAAGAGUCACUUGAGGAAAUCAAAUAAAAAAUUAGAUACAGGAUGUGUAUCUAGAGUGCUUCUAAGAAAGCAAAUAUUACAAACUUAAGAACAAAUUUUUCACUUGAUAAGCAAAAGCUUAGUGAAAUUCUUUGAAGAACAAAGAUGAUUUUUCUUGAGCGUGAUAUAUUUCAGUAUAGUUUUGGCUAGUGAUUUCUUGUUUCUGAAUGUUGAUUCUUCUCUAUUUAUAGGAGUUGAAGUAGAGUUGAAGUAGCGUUUGAAUCUGUUGGAUAUUGAGAUGUAGUUACGCCAUUCCAUUAAUAGCUUCUGGCAGUAGACUUUUUCUCUUAGAAGUGACUACUUACCCCAUUAGUAUCUUCUCUCUUGGAAGUGGAGAUUAACGUCUUUCUAAUUGAGGAAAUCAUUUGCAGAACUUAACUUGGCUUAAACGUUACUUCAUCAUGAUUAACAAUUCUGAUUAGAGUCUUUGUGUAUCUGGAGAACUGGCUUCUGAUGUUAUCUCUUGAAGUUCAGAUGCGCUGAUACUUCAGAAUUUACAGAAGGCAUUUGUUCAGAAUCAGAGCUUCUAGACUUUACUUCAUGUUCAGAAUGCUUCUGAUACUUUGCAGUUUUUUGUCCAGAGUCAGAGCUUCUUUGAAACGAGAUUCCACUUUAGAUGCUUCUGAUACUUGAUAUAUUUGCUGCUGAUCUUGUUUGACAUCUGAUGACCACAAAUCAUCAUUUCAUUCCUUCUUUCAAGAACCACUGACAACAGAACUUUUCGUUAGGGUGCUCCUUUUUGUGUUUCAUCCUUGUUAUCAUCAAAAUCAUGGAGUCUGUUGUAGAACAAUUCUAUUGUUCCACUUACACAAUCUCCCCUUUCCUUGAUCGAUAACAAACACAUCAACAACUUAUCAGACUGAACCUGAAAGUAUAUAGAUCAGCAUUAGACGAAAUUAGCUCGCCCCUGAGUUCCGAUGUAAGAGUAGUUCUAACCAGAGCAUCCAAGUACACUGACUUCACACACCACUUUCCACAUUCCGCAAAUGAGAUGUUCAGAAACUUUAAUACAGCAACUACCCUCUACAUCUUUAAUGCGGCUACUUCAAGAGCUCAUCUCAUUAAUCUGUCACGAAUGCUGAAGUUUUAGACAUAUUCAAUCAGAGCUAUUUAAUCAUAUAGCGGCUUCCUCCACACCCUUUUUGCGCCUCAAGGUUUACAUCAUCAAGAUUUAAAUCCUUUGGCAUAAUAAACAGAAAAUAAGGUUAAUACAGAGAACAAAUACAUAUCAUUAAUCGCACAAAGGCAACAACAUAAGGAACAUCAGAAGCAAAGAAGAAUAUCAGAGCUAACAAGAAGACAGAAGCAAAAAGACUAGCAAGCAAACUAAAAUAAUGCCUAAGGCCUUAAGGGUUGGAGUUGAGGCGAUCUUGAAGGCAAACAUGGCAAACUUUCUGGAUCGUUUGCAUUCAGAGAUCUGGCAUUGUCAUCCUGCUACGAAGCUCAUUCUGAUCUUUCUUGAUUCUCUUCUGAUUCUUCUUUUAUCUUCUUGUCAGAGUGUUAAGAAUCAUGAGGAUUCGCAGAGAAGACUCCCCUGAAUCAGAGCCUGCUGAGCUUCAGCUUCAGCAGCAGCUUGGGCUCUGCAUUUCUGUCCUGAGCCUUGGCUUCAGCUUCCUGAAUCUCUUAGUAAUUCUUUUUUCCCGCUUCCCCUUUGCCCCCCAGGCCGUUUCUUCGUCCAACCUCUGGCUUUUCUGCUCUCCUGGCCACCUUCUUCCUCUAAUCUCUCUUAGCCUCAGCUUCUCUCGCUCCUCUCUUGGAGUCUUUCCUCAGAUCUCUGAUGUAAGNNNNNNNNNNNNNNNNNNNNNNNNNCCACAAGUGGGUAGACUAUUGUUAGAGUCCUACUUACUACAACGAUUUUUUUUAAGAUUGACAACAUGUUCGGAAAAGUUUGAAUUUGGCCAACCUGGAGGUGUGAUUUACAUACACUUCUCUGAAAUACUCCACACGCAUUUAGAUAUGCAGCUCUUGACGAUACACACACACACUUUUGGAGGCGCUACUUUCCGGGUUGUAAUUGGGCUGGGUUACGGGUAUGGAUUAUUAAAAAACAGGAAAACACGUGGCUUUGGUUCAGGAGGUCGAUGUUACAAAGAUCCUGUGUUGUUUCUUUUAUUCCUCAGUUUUCUUCUUAUUAUUUUUUCUCACUGAAAUGCCCUUUUUCCGUGCUUCUUUUUGAAUCUUUGCAGUUAUGAAUUUUUUUCUUUUUAUUUUUCUUGUCUUUCUCUCGAUUCAUCACUUUUUUCUUUUUUUUGUUCUUGCACUUUCUGGGACUUUGGGAGGCUUUUGGGGGUUUACCCCAACUUAUUCAACACAAUUGAAUGUAUUAUCACAUGACUCUGAACAGGGUAGGAAGUGUUUUUGGCCAAGAGGUUACAUUUAUGGGUUAAACAACAAAUGGAUAUAGGCUCAAGGGGUUAACGUAGGGAUAUAAUUAUUCGAGAAUGGCUCGGGAUUAACUUUCAAACAACGUGCCCUUAGUGUGUGUAUCAAUGGCAGUGACAAUCCCGAGAGUCAUGCAAUUUAGCGGUGAUAAAGACAAACCUGAAUGUCGCUCAUGAUGAUCAAUGUGUUUUGGCUUUUUUAUGACUCACUUUAUUUGGUCAGCUUUUGACAGGAUCCACAGUACUCCUUAGUUUGCGUGCGUUUCUCCUUACUUGCGGAUAUACAGGAUACUCAUGUCGGUUAAGCUGUCUAUGUUUGCCGUCCGAUCUUUACUUUCAGCAGUGUCAACUUCCCGGGGAGAUCCUUCAACAACAAGCCAUGGUGAGUGGCGUGAUCCUUUCAUUUUGCAUUCUCAAAUCGUGACAUCAUUACUAUUUCCAAGCCUACCACCACAUCGACUUGGACCCACAUCCAAGCAUAAUGUACCUUCAAACAGAAAAAUCAAAUCUAGAAGCAAAAAGUAAAAUAACACAAUAACAAAAUAAUGAGAGACUAAAAAUCCAAUAAAAGACAUAAAAUCUCGCCCCACACUUGAACUCAACAUUGUUCCAUAAUGUUUUCAGAAACAAGAGCGAAGGAGGGCACUCACAGUACCCUACUGAGGAUGUGGGUUGUGGAAAUGCAGCAUCAACUUGUCGCAUCAUGCUGCUCCAUCUCAUCCAACAUCGCUCCUGACGGGCUUGCUCGAUUCAUUUCGUUGUUGUUUCGUCCCUCAGCACCUAUUUCGGUUUGUACCCAUCUCAAUUGUCAGUGGACCAGGAUGAUGAACCCGGCCUCCUGCUGGGUGGGUUCAUGGAUGUGGUUUGUAUACACUACUUAGGAGGUGCUUGAGGAUCUUCUUCUUUCUCUGCUUCCGUUCGCUUCCACUGGUCAUUCCAUAAAUUGCUCACCUGCGGUAAAAAUGGUCAGUUUCGUGGCCUUCAUCCGCGUCGGGGUCAGCGCUCAAUACAACCAAUUCAGCUAAGUCAUAAUCGCAAUCUGUCUGAAUCCAGGCAGUGAAGAGAUAAUAAACCGUCUAUGGAAGUAUAGUAGAAAUAGUAAGUAGGGGCAACACACAAUCAAUACCCAUUGUGAAAUUAGAGCAGACAAUGUCAAUUUUGGUGGUUUCCUGCAUAUUGGCGUGUCUUCGAGGUAACAACAACUUGAUACCCGAAAUGCUCAGCGAUUUGAGAUGCAUUUCCCGACGGGAUAUUCCUCCGGAGUUUGCUCAGCGCGAGCUCUGCCCUAGAUGUCUGCUGCAAAGGGGCAAAGCUAACAUUGAUGGCUUUGUUUUGAGCCAUCGGUACUAAAGAAUAGCUCUCUCUGAUAGCUACCAUGUGUUAUCGUCCUCUUUCCAAACAAGGUAUAGGCUAAAGCCCCUUCUUGACGUACCUGAAACAUGGAUUCUGGAUACAAGAGGCUUCGCACCUUUGAGGAGUAAUCCGUUCCUCCCGGUGAUGGCACUCCAAAAAUCUUAGGUGAGAACCCGUCUGGGACCGCUCCGUCCAUUUCAGAGGGAGUCAGAGUAUAGCUGUAUCCUACAGACACACUCAUGAUAAUUAUUAAACAACCGAAAUUGCAAAGGUCAUAUCAUCACACAGACUCUCUGAGCAUCCUGAAUUUUUUUUAUGCUUUUUAUUUUUAUUUAGCAUGCUUGGCCCUAACCUUACUUUGGUCUUAUAUGAGGAUUUGGUUUUGGUCGCACAAGUCAUGGUGUUGUUCAUGGUGAUUGUGGAUAGCAUCUAGCGUAUGGUCAUACUGAACAACCACAUGCUUCUUUGUGUUAUCAAGCCACAUUGCUAGUCAUGUUAUUGUUCAUGGAUGCUAUGUCAAACUAACCUUAGGUCUCAUUUCAUGUUGUUCAUGCGUACAGGUUAUUAGUUCAAGUUUUUUUUUUUCAAAGUCAAACAUCCAAGUCCAUAAACUAACCAAUGUAAAACCAAAUUGCAAACCAUUUGUUCAUCCAUUUCAAUCUAUUUCAUGUCAUUGUAACCAUUCACAUGUGAGUCAUACAAUGGAAAAACAAAAUUUGGGCAUUUUUGACCAACUGUUGACUUUGGUUCAACCGUUGACUUUGGUCAACUUUGACAAACGUCAACCCAAAUCAUUAAACGCCUAAAUUCACCCAUAAUUGUCCAUUGAAUCGCAUUUAAGAAAGAAUACAAAAAAUGAACUUGACCAAUUGUUGACUUUUGGUCAACUUUGACCCAAAAGUCAACGUGCAACCGCUUUGCAUCCUAAAAUCCUAAGUCUUUUCCAUCAUGAACCUUAAUCAUCACUCAUUGUUCGCAGUUGUAGAUUGCUUGCUUAUCUCUCAUCGAUAGAUGUGUUAACAUUGACAAGUAUUAUAUAGCCUUAAGAUACAACACACGAAGGCGUAAUAUUAGAGUUUCUCAUAAACCUCGCGAGCUGGAGCAAAAGUUUCAGUUAUAACAAUAGCCAUGCCUACUACUUGAAUGUGAAACAGUAAGUCAAGUUAUACUUAAAAACAGCAGAUGCAUAACUACCGCAGCUUUCCGUCAGAAUCCAACCAAAGAACAUGACGACUUCUCUCGCAAUGAACUUGACAAAAAAGGAUAUUUCCUUCCACUUAUAUCUAUACUGACCGGAUGAUGGAAAGGAUACUAUGCUAUAUAUUAGGAGUCAAUUCUGAGACCAAACACACACGAAAAUACACGGCGUGGUCACAAAUACCAUAACUGACUGUUUGGCCUCUUGUGUGAACCUAUUUAAGAUGUGCAGAACAAGAGAACCAGCCCUUCAACAUCAGCCGAGCUUAAUGACAUACCUAUGUCUCGUGCAUAGGACACGUAUAUUGAUAUAAACAUGCCCAAACUACUAUAUCUUAGCACAUACGUCGUAUGGUCGAGACCCUACAACUUUGCAACCCAUCCCAGACGCUGCUACAAACCACAUACCCACAAUGGUCAACAAUACUAUUGCAAGUACAAUGUGCAGUCACUUGGCCAGCUGCACACCAAGAAAACUUAAUACACGAUGUUUGAUCCGCUGACGAAAAGGAGCCUUCAGCCACAUUGACUGUGAGAUGAGCUACUAACUCAAUGAGCACGACUACGUCCCGCAACUUAGACAGGAAUAUAAAAUAGGAGAGGCGUCUCUACGCAAUCGUAUGGACUGUUCUAGUGCGAUUAUGCUAAUGCGAUAUGGUCAGCAUACACUAUCUGCAGCAUUCUAUGUUCAUGAUCACAAUCAACUGCUAUACAACCUAAUAUACUGUAUACCAGGUAUAUCGUUGCCUCACCGACUCACUAUAGAACUCCUUUACAUUAUAGGAGAUGAAUUUCCUGGAGAUUUAAUGGUCUUCAGAGUUCCAAGGAGUGACAUGUUGCUAUCGGUGGGGAGCUUUCUUAAUCACUCUUAUGCUAGCACAGCAAGUCUAUCAACAUAACCACCCUAAGGACAGUCGAGAAUCUCCAUGAAAGCAGGUUUACACUGCAAACUCUGCUUCACGGAAUUACGCAUGACGUCUCAGAUUAUAUCAACGGUCACAUUUAUCCAGAUGAAGGACUAACAUAAUCAAAGACUAUCGCCUAAUAUCACUUGACAACGACUAGGAUCACAUUUGUGUCUACUGCUGACACAGAUAUAUCCUCUUGUAGCGAGCGCCUAUAAUACACGAUAAUCUGUCAUGUCCUAGAUGUUAUCCUACAACUUAUCAUACUCAGCUUCGGGUACGCUUGGGAUGAGCUCACCACAGACUUGUUCAGAUGUUCUUUUAGUAUUUAAUAUAAAGCAAAUGCAUCCAAACGGAUGAAAAUAUGAAAUGUGGUGGGUUUUUUCUUCCCUAACACUGCAUUACCUGAUCUACUCACAGGAGUUGCUCUUUAUCCACGAAACACACCAUCGGCUAUCUGAUUAUGCGCAAGAGUUUCUAUCUCCACUGAAUACAAUACAUGCAGGUCUUGGGCGACAGGUCGCAUCAUCCUGGCACUUUACGAUGAGACUCUCUCUCCUGCCCCAAAGUGCUUUGUCUGCUACACAUUCUUGGUAAUUCUAUGUGUCCACAUUGGUUCUAAGGGUCACAUAGUUAUGCUUGCUAUUGUAUAGUCUCUGUCUAGUCUCUGGAAAGUGGCCAAAUUAUAUAAUAAUAAAGCACAACAACGUGGAAACUAGACACAUCACCAAAUUUGUGUGAGUAGGGAGACCUAGUAAGUAAUAUCUCAAAACCAGUGGGAGACUGCAGAGAAGGAACCAUAUGCUGGGAUAGCAAAUGGUUUGCAUGGUACGAUAUCAACAAACACAACAGCCUGUCUCAUUACAAAAUAGGUCAUUUAUAUGUAUACUACAAGAGUGCUACUCUCGGUUUAGUCCGAUAGUAUGAUUACUGGCUCAACAAUCAUUUAUGAGGGAUCUAUACCAUUGCAUCUAAGUUGACACGUUAUCACCUUUAGAGAGGAGACACACCUCUCUGGUGAGAUACAGAGAUGUUUGUACCGCAUGUAGAGUGCAUCUGUAUUAGUCGACGUUGUGAUCCGCAGAAUCAGUUAUGUAUCCCUCGCGAAUGUCCACCCAGGUGCAGAGACACUAGUAAGCAUUGAAAUACUCACGAGAUAUCUUAGUAAGUCAUAACUUCUGUGUAUGUCACGCAAUGUAUAUGAUCAUAUGUAUUGCUAAAGGAAGUGUUAUUGUCACAUCAGGUAACACAAGAUACACGUUCUAAGUAGAUGGAAGCGUAGAUGCACCCACAGUAUGGCUUAGAGGAGGUCGAUUGCAUCUAAACUCCAUUUUUUGGUUAUAAAGAUGCCUAUGCUUCGAAAGAGAGAUACUUCCUGCUAUUCUCUAGACAGCUUACGCCCCAAGAGCACUCAUUGCAACGACCGUUAAUCUGCAGUGUCUACGAGUUAUACACAACACAACUUCGACAUAAACCACUCAAGUGUCGUUAGCUGAGAAACGUUCUACACCUUGAAUUGUCCCUCAUCAGUGCGCCCUAAAGCGUCAGCCUCCAGCGUCUACUAACUGUGAAAAUCUUCACUCGUACGCAUAUAUAAAAGUGGUUACAUUCAUGUGGUAUGAGAAACUGUAUAGCUCACAUCGAGGCAGUACAAUUAUAAACUACAGAAGAUAACCUUUUGAUCUUUUAAAAUAACAGACAAAGAUAUGAAUUAGUAACUAAAUACUCGAAUAGGAAUGAGAUGUCAUUAUGCUUCCCUCUUACCUCGCAGUGAUUACCCAUGUGGAUCCAUCAGAGCCUCGGUUCUGACUAAUGGCUUUACGACAGAACUAUUCAUCUAUGUUGCCGACUAAAACUUAGGAGUAAUUAUCACUCUUUGAUACUUAGCAUCAACUUAGUUCUACGCAAUCCCAAGAAACGGAUGAUUUGUGUGGCUGCGAUAACUCUCUUUUAUGGACUUACUAUCAUAGAAAGCAACUUAAUGGAUAACAAUGCUUACAUCGCAAACCUCACUCCUUCGUCAAAACUCUAUCAGAAAGAGAGUCAAUCAGAUAAUAGAAGGAAGGGGAGAGAAGUACUCAUCAUAUAGCAAAGAGAGGAUAGGACAGGUAGCCCAUCUAGAUCGACAUAAAAUUCUGGAUCUGGCAGAUCAUCACAUUCCAUCAAAGCAACCACAAACGCUCAAGCGCGAAUUAAAGUUUCCACCGCUAUUGGAGACAUUUAUGACCUCUUCUUGCGCCAGUUUGCGGUAGCGCUAGGCAUUUUCCCACAGAGUCCAGGUACGCGCCUUACUGUUCUCAGGCUGCUCAUGACACUUUGCUGCAUAGCGCGGUCUGAUCGCACACUCAUGUAGUAUAGAAGAUCUCUCUUAUCUUUUUCGCCUAAUUACUCCUAAUAUGUAACAAUCUUCUGUCGCGGUCGUUCAUGAUUUAGAUUGGUAGCACUCACAUGACGUGUGUACGAUGAUCAACGUAUGAGGCAUGACGUUAGCGAUUUUCUUUGAGUUUAGCAGAGCGUGAUGUAUGGUGUUUCGUUUGGUAUGUGUGAUAUGUGUAGUGGUCGAUCUGUAUUAGAGGUAGAGGCGAAAGUUAUCGCGAGAAAGAGAUGUUGUAGAUUGUGUGAGAGAUAACGAUUGGGAGGCGUUUUGAAGAAGGAUGGGAUGUAACUUCUAAGAAUUCGCCUUUGGAGAGAGACGAUCAGUUUAGCAGCACAGAUCAGUACCCGGGUUUUGGAGAUUACUUCGCGGACUCUACUGACACAUUACGGAUAUGUGGAUGUAAGGUAGAUGGCCGAAUAAUAAGCUGACUCAUCUCUGAGAGCAUGAUAUAGAGGUUCCGCACCGAGAGAAGUGAAUUUUGAGUUGUUAUAGAAGAGCUUGCGAGAAUAUCUUGAUAAAUGAGAUUUCAUUGAAGGUGGUAGGAGCGUGAGGCACGUGAAGUGUGUAUCUGAUUUAGGUAGUCACUCUUAUCUUUUCUUUAUUCUUUAAAUUUAUUAAGUCUCUUUAUACAGCAUAUAUUUAGCUCAUCUUCAUAUAAACAUAUAUAAAGGGUGUUUGAGAGAUGUAGUGAUUACUUCUAGGAUUUCAGUAAAUCUCACUUAUGUUGGUAGAGUUGUUAUGGUGUUUCCCUAAAGAGUCUUACUAUUACACUCUUCAGAUCGGAGCUUUAAGAAACUAUAACUGUCCAAUUCUUAAGAACCGGUGCGUUACUCGCUUGUUGGUUAAAACUCUCUCGCGCUAGUGAAAGAGAGGUAAGACGCCUAACCGUCCUUGUAUAUUUAUACAGUUUUUAGUAUUCUAUCUAUGUUGUAUUCUAUUACCAGUGAUAGUUCUAGAAAGUUCAGAAAAUCCUUAUAGUCUAAUCUCAGAUUCUUCACAUACAUGUAUGAUGCUAGUGUUAGUGAGGUAGCCUCAUAAAACGCAUGUAACUAUACGUUGGCGCUGUCAUCAAGAGUCAGAUUCUGAUGAAUGGGUCUUGGGUGGAAUGUACGACUAGUGCGGUCCAGUGUAUCCACAUUAGUCUAUCUGCUUCAUGUGGUCGUUGAGAGGGUUGCAUAAUUAUCUUCUCUGAUAGACUUUAUGCAUCUUUUUCUAUUGUUUAGGCGUUUUUUAUUUCUUUCUAGCUAUCUUAUAUUUAUCUUGCUCUGUGAGAGGUGCUAUUUUCUAUUUUUUAUGUUUCAUUGCACUCUUAUAUUAUGAACUCCUGUCAUAUUUUAUCUAAUAAUAUGUACUAGAAUUGCUAUAAAUAUUGUUUCUCUCUAAUUUGAUACCAAUUCAUGUUCAAUAAUCACCCAUCUUUUUGUUAAACUAUAUGUUAACUACCAUGCAAUCUAUAUCUCCUCUUCUCGGAUCUUUUGAGAUAUCUCUCGUAGGAAGUCUGUUGUUGCCAUUUUCCCAUCGGUACUUGUUCCCAAGUGUUGUGCUUAACCUCUUACUGGUUAGGCUCACGACACGCUUUGUUACAGUUCGAUCUCGUCAUCUAUGUAUAAGUCACUCUGCCAUCGGUUCAAAACGUCUCGACCAGGUGAUUCUUGACAGUAUUGGGCUCGUUUCCUUAGCAGGAUGGAGAGCGCUUUGCUUGUGUCUGUACUCUUAAGACUUCCGUCUCUCUCACGCGCGUCUAGGUAUUCAGCGACACUGCAUUUAUUUACUUGUUUGGACUUGUCGUUCUACGCCAGAGUUCUUUACAAUUUCACUCCACUCCAUAGCUUUUGAAUUAUGCCCUCAUUGUCACUUUCUAGAACGAAAAUAACUGAUAACCAAGCUCUCUUCACAUCGGUUGACAUGAAAUUUAGUAUACUAUGCUCCUUUGAUAAUUCAGAGCAGUAACCCAUUGGUCUCCAAUUUUCUUGGCAGACUUCUGACUAAUCUCUUACAUGAUCCGCAGUCGUGUAUCCUUUGUCUAGGCGACUUUUAGACCUGCAAUAAGAGUUUGGAAUCUGGGAAAACAUAGCUUCUAUAGCUCGUCAUCUUCCAUCUGUAAGGCUGUCAUAGUUUCUGGAUCAACGCCAGAGCUUUCGUUCUCCUUGACUUGGGAGUUCCUUAUGGUCAUCUUCAGAGAGUCAGUAAAUUCUUUAGCCGUCUCUCUCGUUGUGGGAUCGUUCUUUGUAUUCGUUGGUAAUGAUAUCGCAUUUAGAUAUAUUUGUUCGUGGCCAUUGUGAAUGAUUUUGAACUCACGUUUCGUGAUGUUCUGACAUUUUGGCCUUUCUGGGAACGUUCACUCCAUUUAAGGUUGGAGUUUGUAUCCAUUGUGACAUGUCCAGAGGUCAGCAUCAUAACCCAGAAGAAACUUCCGAUUCUAUCUUCCAGUAAUCAACAACUGUUUCUCCAUCAAAAACAGGAGGCUUGCAUUGUACAGAAUCUUUCUCAUUGAAGUGGGCCAUUUGUUUUCUCGCACUGAUCUCUCUACACGGUUAAUGUUUGAAUUUGAAAAUCAUAUUACAGAGCCGGAGCUCUGAUACCGAAUUGAGGUGAGAAAAACAAGAAAGGGGGGGGUUUUGAAUUGUUUGAAAAAAAUAAGCGCUUUUGCAAAAUGAAAUCACACAAUGAUUUUAUACUGGUUCGCUUAUAACACAAAGCUACUCCAGUCCACCCGGCAAGGUGAUUUCGCCUUCAACAAGGAUUAAUCCACUAAUCUUGAAAGAUUACAAACAACCCCUAAGAGAGAAGAAAAUCUCUUAGUCCUCUCAGUCUACAGACUACAAAGAGUCACUUGAGGAAAUCAAAUAAAAAAUUAGAUACAGGAUGUGUAUCUAAGAGUGCUUCUAAGAAAGCAAAUAUUCAAACUUAAGAACAAAUUUUUCACUUGAUAAGCAAAAGCUUAGUGAAAUUCUUUGAAGAACAAAGAUGAUUUUUCUUGAGCGUGAUAUAAUUUCAGUAUAGUUUUGGCUAGUGAUUUCUUGUUUUCUGAAUGUUGAUUUCUUCUCUAUUUAUAGGAGUUGAAGUAGAGUUGAAGUAGCGUUGAAUCUGUUGGAUAUUGAGAUGUAGUUACCAUCCAUUAUAGCUUCUGCAUGUAGACUUUUUCUCUUAGAAGUGACUACUUACCACACCAUUAGUAUCUUCUCUCUUGGAAGUGGAGAUUAACGUCUUUUCUAAUUGAGGAAAUCCAUUUGCAGAACUUUAACUUGGCUUAAACGUUACUUCAUCAUGAUUAACAAUUCUGAUUAGAGUCUUGUGUAUCUGGAGAACUGGCUUCUGAUGUUAUCUCUUGAAAGUUCAGAUGGGCUGAUAACUUCAGAAUUUACAGAAGGCAUUUGUUCAGAAAUCAGAGCUCUAGACUUUACUUCAUGUUCAGAUGCUUCUGAUACUUUGCAGUUUUUUGUCCAGAGUCAGAGCUUCUUUGAAACGAGAUUCCACUUUAGAUGCUUCUGAUACUUGAUAAUUUUGCAUCUGAUCUUGUUUUUGCAUCUGAUGACAUCAUCAGACCUUUAUUUCUUCUUUCUUUAGAACCCUGCACACUUAGAAACUUUUCGUUAGGGUGCCAUUUUUGGUUUCAUCCUUUGUUAUCAUCAAAAUCAUGGAGUCUGUUGUAGAACAAUUUUUGUUCUUACAAACCUGAACCAGAAGCCACCUCUCCACCCCCUGAACAACAAAAUCCACCUCCAUUUGAACAACCACAAACACCACCUUCUGAACAACCAGCAACUCCACCCUCUGAACAACAACCCACAACACCACCUGCACAAACAACACCACCACCCUCUGAUAUUCCCACCAUACCAAUAUUUGAGGCCAUCAUCAUCCCUACUCACACUCCCGCUGACACCAACCAAACACCACCAUCAUCCCCAUCCCCCAACUUUGAACCUGAACCUACCUUCCCCACCUUAGAAGAAGAAAUCACUUUAUUUGCAGAGUCUUCAGUGGAGAAGAUCAAGUCUCUGUCUGUCAACUAUGACAUCAGUGGUGUUCCCUCUGCAGUGAGGAUCCACUUGAACCGAGUGAUCAGAUGGAUGACCUAUGAAGCCUUCAAACUGAAAGGCCUCUAUGAACAAGUCCGCAACGACUUUGUCAGAGAUGCUGGAGUAAGGCUACAGACUCGCUUGGUCAGAGAGGCUGAGGAAAAGGCCAGAAAGGAAGCAAAAGAGAAAGCUCGUUUGGAAGAAGAGAAACGAAUCAGAGAAGCUGAAGAGAAGGUUGUUGUUGAAGUUGUGGUUAUUGUUGAAGCUGAGGCAAAAGCUAAAGUCGAAGCUGAAAAAGCAGCACGCAUUGCUGCAGAGGAAGUUGUAAAGGCCAGCGCUGAUGCUCUGACUCAGGGGGGUGCAAUCUAACUCUGGUUUCGCCCCUUUGGUAUAGAAAACUCUAGAGGAACUUCAAAAGGAACAACAAGUUAUGAGAGCUAGGUUGGAUCACCAGGACUCCGUCGACAACAAUAUUUAGAACCUGCUGACUCAAUUGCUCCAAAGGAUGCCUCCGCCUCUAAACCCUUAGGCACUUAGGCUAUUUUGUUGUUGUUUUCUUCUAAUGUUUUCCUUAUGCUUUCUGAUAUAUGCCUUCAUUGCUUCUUAUAUGUACCAACUUUCUCUCUUAUAUAUGAAUAUUUGUUUCUUGCUUUACUUUCUACGUAUUUUUGAGUCUGACAAACAGGGGGAGAACUAUAACAGCUCUGAUGAAAAUACAUAUCUAAACCUCUUAAUGCACUAUGAACAUUAAUAUCUUAAUGAUUUAUGAAAACUAAAGUUAUGCAGGACAACAGCUAAGGUACAGACCAACUACCACACAAGGAAGGUCUGGUAAGAACUUCUGAGAAAUCUGAUGAUUUAACUCGGGGGGAGUCCCUUGUUCUUAUCUGAUUUUGAGAUGUUAUUUACUGCUUCAUCAUCACUCUGACUUGUUUUGUCAUCAUCAAAAGGGGGGAGAUUGUAAGAACAAAUUUAGUUCUACAAUGUAUCUCUAAGAUUUUGAUGAUAACAAAGGAUGAAACAAAAAAAAUGGUACCCUAACGAAAUCUUUCUAAGUAUGCAGGACUCUAAUCAAAACAGUCAGAUAGACACUCAUCAAAUACAAAAUCAAAGUCUAAGAUACCAAUUAGAAGAUACACAAGCAGAAGCUCUGACUCUGAUCAACGCAACGCAAACUAAACAAAAGACAUCAGACACUCUGAAAUGGAAGAAUGACUCUAGAAUCUGAAGACUUACGCUGUGAUGAAAUCAAGUGAAAGGAAGCUCUGAAGACAAUCAACAACAAGCAUCUAUCUGAUGAUACCCUUUUGAAUAUAGACUCUGAAGUUCGAUCUAUCUAAUUCAGAAUACUUAGCUAUGAAGGAACCCACUUAUGGAAAGAAUCUAAUUCAGGAAGAAGUUUAUGGCGCCCCAAAAUUGUUUUGGAAAGAACACAGAAAUUAAUGACAUUAAUCAUCCAUCAUUGCCCAAGAUUCUGACAUUAACAUACUUCAACGGUCCUCUCAUCACUCCUAUAUAAAGGAUGGAACACUUCUCAAAUAACUCACCUGGAACUCACGAGAAUACAAUACCUCCACUAUAUUUAUUAUUCAUUCUCUCACACGAGUUGUUGCUCUAACGUGUGAAAUAAUUCUUUACUCUUACAUUGUGUAAUUUCUGCUUAUUUUAGAAGCACCAAUCAUUACUGUAAUCAUACUAUAUUGCUAAGAAAUUUCCUCAAGUGACUUGUUAAGUCUGUAAACUUGAGAGGGCUAAGAGAUCUUUAUUCUCUUAGACGAUUUUUCUUGUAAUCUUUCAAUAUUAGUGGAUUAAGUCCUUUUUGAUGGCAAAAUCACCUUGGCCGGGUGAACUGGAGUAGCUUUGAAUUUCAAGCGAACCAGUAUAAAAUUUUGUGCUUAAUUUAUUUGUUUCUGUGUGUGUCUAAAUUCCAAAAAGUUUUAUUUUCUAAAAAUAAUUCAAACCCCCCUUUCUUGUUUUUCUCUACCUUGAAUUGGUAUCAGAGCUUCGGCUUUGUUAUUGAUUUCUAAUCAAACACUUAACAGUGUAGAGAGAUCCAGCGUGAGAAAAACAUUAUGGCCAACACCAAUGAAAGAGAUAGUUACAAUGCUAAACCUCCAAUCUUUGAUGGAGAAAAAUUUGAUUACUGGAAAGAUAGAAUCGAAAGUUUCUUUCUGGACUACGAUGAUGAUCUGUGGGACAUAGUUACUAUUGGCUACAUACCUCCCGUAUCUGACGCUGGCGUUGCCAUUUCCAGAAACAAGAUGACAGAUGAUCAUAAGCGUGACUUCAAAAACCAUCACAAAGCCAGAACAAUACUGUUGAAUGCCAUUUCCUACAAUGAAUAUGAAAAGAUCACCAACAGGGAAACAUCUAAAGAAAUACUUGACUCCCGGAGGAUGACUCACGAAGGAAAUUCACAAGUCAAAGAGACAAAGGCUCUGGGUCUAAUUCAGAAGUACGAAGCUUUCAAGAUGGAGGAUGAUAAAGCUAUAGAGGUAAUGUUUUCUAGAUUUCAAACUUUAAUUGCAGGACUCAAGGUUUUGGACAAAGGCUACACAACUGCAGAUCAUGUCAAAAAGAUCGUCAUAAGCUUACCAAAGAAGUGGAGACCCAUGAUCACCGCAUUAAAACUGUCAAAGGAUCUGAACAACAUUAGCCUUGAAGAACUAGUUAGCUCCCUCAGAAGUCACGAGAUAGAGCUUGAGGAAGAUGAGCCUCAAAGAAAGAACAAAUCUGCAGCACUAAAGUCCAGAUCUGAGAGACACAAAUCAAAAAGGAACAAAGCCUUCCAAGCUGAAGAGGAAGACAAUGACAACUCUGAAAAAGAAGACUCUGACGAUGAAGAAGAGUUAUCCCUUUUAACUAGAAGAGUAAAAUGGAGUCAGUCAGAACAAUAAAAGAGGAAUAAGGUAUGAUACUAGUGAAGAUAAAUCUUCUACAGAUGACAAACCCAAAUCUCCUUUCUCUUAUCACUACACGCAUGCACAAACACAACAUUUUACUAAGGCUAGAAAACUCAAAGUUCUAAGAAACUCUGGGAAAACUAAUCACAAAGGACCCAAAAGAUUUUGGGUACCAAAGGAUAAGAUUGUUUAUGUUGCAGAUAUCUUAUGCAGCAGAGUUAAGACACCAGUCAUGGUACCUGGACUCUGGAUGCUCGCAACACAUGACGGGAAGAAAGCAUAUGUUCCAAAUCCCGGAACUUAAAGAUGUUGGCUUCGGAGGUUUCGGAGGAAAUCAGAAAGGUAGAAUCAGAGGCUCCCGAACUAUUGGUAAUGGAUCUCUUCCCUCUAUAUCUGAUGUUCUCUACGUAGAAGGAUUAAUGUAUAACCUGUUAUUAAUAAGCCAAUUAAGUGAUAACGAUUAUGAUAUAAUCUUCAAUCAAAAAACAUGUAAAGCAAUUAAUCAGAAUAAUGGAAUAGUUCUAUUCACUGGAGAGAGGAAAAACAACAUUUACAAAAUAAAUCUUUCAGAUCUAAAAGAUCANNNNNNNNNNNNNNNNNNNNNNNNNNNNNNNNNNNNNNNNNNNNNNNNNNNNNNNNNNNNNNNNNNNNNNNNNNNNNNNNNNNNNNNNNNNNNNNNNNNNAUAAGCAACUAAAGGUACCUGAAACCAGUCAGACAACAUCAGUAUACAAUUCAAAGUUAAAUCAAAAUGAGAUAGAGAUCAACAGUCAACACAAUCAGUUAAAUGUGCAAUGCACAAAGCUCAAAGCAUGUGAGCCAAGCAACCUACAAAACAAACAAGUUAGUUCAUGAUAAUCAAUCAAGCUCAUUCAAUUUGUAAUGAUCUCUUUGAAACAUUUGUUGCUUAACCUGAAACAACAAACUUAAACAUGAGCAACAUGACCACUAGGACAAGCCUAGGGUCAAAAAGAGAUAAGAAAAUCAAAACAGCAAGUGACAAGUGUCCAAAAUCAAGUUCAAACAAUCAAGAAACAAACUCAAUUGGUUUCAUGUUCAUAUCAAUCAUCAUCAUCAUUUCAUAAGCAAAUUAGGUCAAAGCAUGGCAUAUAGAAGUUCAAAGAAGUCAACAGAAUGAUUUAGCUCAAAACCAAUCUCAAACAUUUCAAUAAAUUAUCAAAUAAUUCAUGAUCAAACAUCAUCCAUAACAUGAUAAGCAUAUCAAAUUUCAGCUCAUUUGGAUCAAGCGAAGUAUGUCAAUGAAAUUCAGAAAGUCAAAGCAAGUUCAAGUAGACUCAUACAAAGCAUCAAAACAUGUACCAACUUCAAUAAAUCAUAAAACAGUGACAACAUAUGAUAAAUGAAUAGGACUAAAACCAUGACAAAGCUUAAGAUGUCUACUAAUGACAUGUCAAAUUUCAAGUUCAUCCAAUUAGGCAUGAGAAUUUCACAAAUCAUAUGCAAACAUGUAUCACAAAAAGUCAACAAAUGACCAAUCAGGGGAGAAAAUUCCAAUCAAAUAGGAAAUGCCAUCAAUAAUUCCAGAAAAAUUCACAGGUAUUGCCAACAUCCACAAGUAUGUUCAUGCAAAAAUUCAGACCAAUUUGAGUUUAAUAAGCAAGGUAAUGAAAAUCAUGAAGUUGGACAUGAAUGGUGUGACACAAAUUGUCACACCCCUAUUCAUAAUAUCAUAUCUCAAUAACCAGCAAUGAUAAAUUCACAAGCUCUACACCAAAAUCACCAUGAACAUGUCUAGUUUAAGCACAAACAAUUUGGGAAGCAUUGGAUAAAGUAUCAUCAUUUCACAAGCAAUUUGGUAAGACAUACAUAAAAUGGACACAUAUGACAAACCCUAGCACAUUUUAAAAUCCACACGUGCAAAAAAUCUGGAAAAAACAUGAUAAAAAUCUAGAGAUCAGGAGGAUCAUUUUGCAAAAAAUCCCACCAAUUUUGGAUUAAAAUUGAAGCACUUAUGAUUUUUGGAAGAUUGGAGAUCAAAAUGAAAUAAAUAUUGAGAACUAAAAUGAUUUAAAUAAUAAUGAAAUCCGGCAGUGGCAAAACGGUAAUAUCUGGACUCACUAAGUGAAACGCUGCGUUUCACUUAGUGAGGUGGCGUGCGGCAAGUGGUCACAUGGCGAUGUAACAGUGUAAACAUGCAGAGAAAAGCCAGAAACACGAUCAAAACAACAUUCUGGGUUUGGUUUUUAGGGUUUCCACUACUGUUCAUCAUCAUCAACAAAUCGUGAUAAAUUUUUUCCCAGUUUUUGGAAUUAAGCAUACCAUUCAACUCAUCUAAUCACGUGCAUCACAAAUGCAACAUUCAUUUUCAAUAAUCCAAGCUAAUAUGAAAGAACCAAGCAAAAACACAAUUGAACAUCAAUUUUUAAAUCACUGUAACUUCCCUAAUAUUCAACCAUUUUUAAUGAUUCAAAGUUCAUUGUGACCAGAAAAGCAAGAUCUAUCCAAAGCAUAUCAACAUUUUGAGAAUGGUGUGAUUCGAGAUUCUUACCUAGCUUGAAGCACAGUGAUGAAAUAGAGGUUGUUUGGUCGUACAAAGCUGAAACAGAUGAAGCUUGAUGAUGCAGUAGGUGAAUAAAGAUGAAACUUUGGUUCAGCUGCUCUUGAAUCCGCUCCAGUUAACAUCUUCCAUGGGAGAAGAUUAAUGGAACAGUGGUCGAAAGUAGCUUUACAGUUGUGAUUUAAGGCUUGCAAAAGCUUCAACAAUGUUUGCAGAUGGUGGCACAAAGCUCAGGCACACGGUUUCUAUGAAGGUUUUCAGAAAAAAGUGCAAGUGAAGGAAAUGAGGGUUUGAGAGAAAAUGGCUUUUUGAUCUGUUUUGUGUAUUGUGUGCUAGGGUUUUUGCAGCAGAAAAUGAAGAAUAUAUACUGUGAUUAAUGGAGCUAAGUUUGGUUAAUUUGAGUGGUAAUGAAGAUUAGCUUAAAAUGAAGUGUUUUGGCUAAUUUGUGAAAUUCCACUUAUGUUGCAUGGGCAUGGCUACAACUGCGAAAAUGGGCCUUAAGCAUAUCCAAAAUGUCAUUUCUGAACAUUUCCAAUUGGUAAAAUAUGUUGGAAAGGCUUAAUUUGAAAACUCAUUUUUUCACCUCACUCAUUUUUAAUUCAUGUACUUUGAAAAAGGCCAUUUUGAUUGGUUGAGUUUUGGUGAAUUGUGAUGAAAUAUUUGGAUAGAGCACAUCAAAUAUGACUUGUAGCAAAAAACCUCACUCAAUUUGGCCAAAUGGUUUGGAAGAUAUGCCACUUUGAAGUUCAAAAUUUUUUGAGAAUGAUUUGAUCAUAACUUGCCAACCAUACAUGAGAAAAGAGUGUUCUUGGACUUUUUGGAAAUGGGAGAACAAGAUCUUCAACUUUCAUGUUGGGCAAAAAUUCAUUUGAAGCUUGUAUGAUGAUGUAAUUUUGAGGAGCAAGACUUUCCAUUUUUGGCAAAUUCCAAUUACAGGUCAACUUUCUAUUUUUGGAAAUUUCUUGUCUGACUUCAAAUUCUUCACUGUGGAUGUUUGACAUGUUAUAUGAGGCUUAUAUGGACAUGAAUGAGACCUCUCAAACCAAUUCCCACCAUCAAAUCACUGAUUAAAUGCACAGUUGACCACAGUUGACUUUAGUUGACUUUGCUAGGGUUUUGGUUGACUGAACCAUGUUCUGAUGAAUUCCAAGCCCCUACCACUUGAUAUCUUGAUUCAAAAUGAUGUCACAACUCAUAUGAACUCUUGAUGAAUGAUCAUGGUGCCCAAAUUCUUCAAGAAUGGCCACCAUCUAUCUCAAUGACUGACUUUGACUGAUUUGACCUAAUUUGCUUCAUCUGCAAGUAACAUGGUUAGAUGACAAUAUUUUUGUACUUUUGGUUAAUAGACAGAUGAAAAGCAAUGAUAUACAAAUGCAAUACAUGCUUGGUGAUCAAGAACCACACUCACAAGACAACCCACCCACUAGGAGGGAAGCAAAGGUGCACAAAGAUCCUUGAGGCAAUGAUAUGAUAUGAUAUGAUGCCAUGAGGGAUCUUAGGGACAAAAUUGAGGUCUUACAGAAGCUAACGCACCGGUAUAAUACAAGGGCCAAUCUGCCGAGGAUAAUGGAACACUUGGAGCAAUAGAACCGGGAAUUGAAGGAAGAGAUAGCUAGGCUGACUACCAUGAUGGAGUCAGUUCUGGCUGCCCAGAGCCAAUCCUCGCCAACUCCUACAACUCCUCCCCAUAGGAAUGUCAUUUCUGAGGUUGCUACCUCAACUGUGCCUGCUGCAACAACCCAUUUUGCGCCAUCUAUGCCAGCCGGGUUCCCGUGGGGAAUGCCCGCCAAUUUUGUGCCCGAGGGUUUUGCUCCUACUCUCGCUUCUCUGCCGGCAUCUAGCCCGGUCCUAUCUGUGCCACCUCCUGUUGUGCACACUCUUCCUCGAGUUGAAGACACCAUCUAUCAUUAUGAGCCAUCUGAGGGCCCAAACGUAUAUGAAAAAAUGGGCAAGAUGAAAGACCAAUUCCUUGAGCUGCACAAGGAACUGAAGACUCUGAAGGGUAAGGACCUCUUGGGUAAGAGUGUUGUUGAGUUGUGCCUUGUGCCCAACGUGAAGAUCCCUAUUAAAUUCAAAGUACCUGACUUUGAGAAAUAUAAAGGAAACACAUGCCCGCUCAGCCAUCUUGUGAUGUAUGCUUGCAAGAUAUCAACACAAACAGAUAACGACCAACUGCUUAUCCACUACUUCCAGGAUAGUUUAUCUGGUGCUGCACUCCGGUGGUACAUUGGUUUGGAGAGUGCGAACAUCCGUUCUUUCAACGAUCUUGGCGAGGCCUUCGUCAAGCAAUACAAGUAUAAUGUGGAUAUGGCCCCUGAUAGGGACCAGUUGAGGGCGAUGUCCCAGAAAUAGAAAGAGACCUUCAAGGAAUACGCCCAGAGAUAGCGUGAAUUGGCAGCUCAGAUAGUGCCACCUUUGGAAGAGAAAGAGAUAACCAAGAUCUUCUUGAAGACUUUGAGCUCUUUCUACUAUGAGAGGAUGAUUUCCAGUGCUCCCUCAGACUUCACUGAAAUGGUGAACAUGGGAAUGAGACUGGAAGAAGGGGUUCGCGAAGGACGGUUGUCUAGGGAGGACAGCUCUUUAGCAAAGAGGUAUGGGGGCUUUGCGAAGAAGAAGGAGGGAGAGGCACAUACUAUGUCCUCCCAUUAAAAAAAGGCCCUCUGUAAUGAGGAAGAACAUGCGCCCUGCCGUUAACCAACACCAGGUGGCUCAUAUAACACCUGCUUUUAGAGAAGUUCAUCAUCAACAACAACAAAAACAAUAUCAACAACAACAUCGUCCACAACAACAUGCCUACCAGCCUCUAAACAACAAUAACACCAGCACCAACAACUACGAGAGGAAGAGGGUCACUUUUGAUCCGAUUCCAAUGACUUGUGAUAAGCUUUAUCCUUCUCCGAUCGAUAGAAAAUUAAUCACUCCACGAGACCCACCUGCUGUACCAACCAACCCUCAUUGGUGGUAUAAGCCUGAACUACAUUGUGUAUAUCAUUCCGGUGCCCCUAAACAUGAUGUGAAGAAUUGCUACCCGUUGAAGACCAAGGUGCAAGACCUUGUGAGAAGCGAUAUUUUGUUUUUCGAGGACGUAGGUCCUAAUGUGAAGAAGAACCCAUUACCCGAACAUGGGAAAGCUGCUGUGAAUAUGGUUCAGGGUGCCCUGGAAAAUAUAAAGUCCUGUAUGUUAAUGAUAUCAGGCAAUCUUUGGUCGAGAUGCAUAAGCUGUUGUGUGGAUACAGUCAUUAUGAGCAUGACCAUGAUAGGUGCCAGGUGUGAACCAUCAACGAAAGAGGAUGCCGACAAGUUAGAAAGGACAUCCAAGAGAUGCUAGAUCAGGGAAUGAUCGAAAUACUUCAAAACUAUAACGAGGACGAAGUCGAUGUUAUCUCCCAUGUCUUUAGAAUUCCUGAACCUGUUGUCGACAAAUAUGAUGGCAGCAAGAAGAAGGUAUCUCCAGCUCUUGUAAUCAAGCCAGCGGGUCCUGUCCCGUAUUCAUCAGACAAAGUUGUUCCAUAUAGAUACAAUGAUGAAGGGUGUUGAUCCUGUUAUUGAUAUAACUGUUAAAGCUCCUGUCCUGGUUGGCCAGUCUCGCAUUAUAAGAGAGGAUGGCGAUGAGAUGCUUAGGCUCAUCAAGAGGAGUGAAUACAAUGUUGUUGAUCAGCUGCUACAAACUCUAUCAAAGAUAUGUGUCAUAUCUUUGUCGAUGAAUUCAGAGCCACACCAUGAAGCUUUGCAGAGGGUGUUGGAUGUGGCAUAUGUGGACCACGAUGUCACUAUUGAGCAGUUUGAUAGCAUUGUUGCAAACAUAACCGCUUGCAACAAUUUGAGCUUUUGUGAUACUCAUCUUCUCGAGGAGGGAAAAGACCAUAAUUUGGCCUUACAAAUUUCUAUGAACUGCAAUGAUGAUACCUUAUCCAAUGUGUUGGUGGACACAGGAUCAUCACUUAAUGUGAUGCCAAAAUCCACUCUGGCUAAACUUUCAUAUCAGGGGCCUCCCAUGAGGCAGAGUGGAGUGGUUGUGAAAGUGUUUGAUGGAUCACGGAAAACUGUGAUUGGCGAAUUAGAACUCCCGAUCAAGAUUGGACCUAGUGAUUUCUAGAUCACCUUCCAGGUCAUGGAUAUUCAUCCAUCUUACAACUGUUUGCUUGGAAGACCAUGGAUUCACGAGGCAGACACCGUGACAUCCACACUACACCAGAAAUUGAAAUUUGUGAAAAACAAGAAAUUGGUGGUGAUAGGGGGAGAGAAGGCUCUCUUGGUCAGUCAUUUAUCUUCCUCCUCCUAUAUUGAUGCUGAGGGUGAGGUUGGGACUCCACUCCAAGCCUUGUCUAUUGUUGAGCCUUCAAGGAAAGGACUUUCUUCAUUUGUCUCCUAUAACGAUGCAAAGUUGGCCAUUGAGCAUGGUGCAACUACUGGAUUGGGGCAAAUGUCAAGCUGAAAGAUAAUAAAUCCCGAGCUGGCAUAGGGUAUUCUUCAGGUGUUUCCAAUGAGCGUGGGUUAUUCCAGAGUGGAGGUUUCAUCCAUACAGUUGAAGAUCAGGAAGCUGCUGCCAUUGUUGAAGAUGAUGAAGAGGAAGACCUGGGCAUCUUUGUCAUUCCGGGCGGAAUCUGGAAUAAUUGGGUCGCUGUUUAUGUUCCAACAGUUAUCCACAAGUCCACGUAAUAUGUUCAUUUUGUUUGAAAACCCUUCUCUUAUGCUAAAAGGAUAAGUGAGGACAUUGUUGGCAAAAUUUGAUUAAUACAAUGAUAUUCAUUCAAUAAUCACAUGUUAUUUGUUUGUUUUUCCAAAUAAUUUUUCCUUUUUGCUUUUUGCAUGAAAUUGGUGAUCACCAUAAAACCCUAAAAAGAGAAUAAAAUCAAUCUUUUCAUCUGCAUAAUGAUUUGUCUUGCUUGAAUUCUGAAAUCUCUUGUAUACUCAAAAUCAUUAUGCAGGUUAAUCAAACCCAUUGAACAUAAUGAUCCAACACCAUCUACCAACUUUGAGUUCCCUGUAUUUGAGGCAGAAGAGGAUGAUGUUGAAGAGAUUCCUGAUGAGAUUACCCUUCUGCUUGAGCAUGAGGAGAAGAUCAUUCAGUCGCAUCUUGAGAAUCUGGAAACAGUCAAUUUGGGGUUUGAAGACUGCAUUCGUGAAGUAAAGAUUGGGGCACUCCUGGAAGAGUUUGUCAAGAAGGGGUUAAUUGAGUUACUACGAGAAUAUGUCGACGUCUUUUCCUGGUCGUAUGAAGACAUGCCUGGUCUAGAUACUGAUAUUGUGCAACAUUUCUUGCCGUUAAAGCCUGAGUGUGUGCCUGUGAAGCAGAAGCUCAGAAGAACUCAUCUUGAUAUGGCAGUGAAGAUUAAAGAAGAAGUUCAGAAGCAAAUUGAUGUGGGGUUUCUGUGACUUCUACAUAUCCUCAAUGGGUGGCCAAUAUUGUGCCUAUACCUAAGAAAGAUGGGAAAGUCCAAAUGUGUGUGGACUAUCGAGACUUGAAUAAAGCUAGUCCGAAAGAUGAUUCCCCUCUACCACACAUUGAUAUGUUGGUAGAUAAUACAACUAAAUUCAAUGUCUUCUCAUUUAUGGACGGAUUUUCCGGUUAUAACCAGAUUAAAAUUGCACCCGAGGAUAUGGAGAAGACAACAUUCAUCAAACCUUGGGGAACAUUUUGUUAUCGAGUGAUGCCCUUUGGUUUGAGGAACGCCGAAGCCACAUAUCAACGAGCUAUGACUACUUUGUUUCAUGAUAUGAUGCACAAAGAGAUCGAGGUAUAUGUUGAUGAUAUGAUUGCAAAGUCGAGAACGGAAGUUGAACAUGUAGAACACUUGUUGAAGCUUUUCCAGCGUUUGAGGAAGUACAAACUCCGCCUGAAUCCGAACAAGUGUACAUUGGAGUCCGUUCCGACAAGUUAUUGGGCUUUAUUGUCAGUGAAAGAGGUAUUGAAGUUGAUCCUGCCAAGGUCAAAGCAAUACAAGAGAUGCAUGCGCCCAAAACUGAGCAGCAAGUCCGAGGUUUUCUUGGCCGCUUGAAUUACAUUUCGAGAUUUAUAUCCCACAUGACUUCCACAUGUGCGCCUAUAUUCAAGCUCCUUCGGAAAGAUCAGCGUCAUGAUUGGCCCGAGGAUUGCCAAAAGGCCUUCGACAGUAUCAAACAAUAUUUGUCUGAGCCUCCGAUUCUGUCUCCGCCUGUUGAAGGGAGACCAUUGAUUAUGUACUUGACUGUUCUUGAUGAUUCCAUGGAUUGUGUAUUGGGUCAGCAAGAUGAAUCAGGGAAGAAAGAAUGUGCAAUAUACUACUUGAGUAAGAAGUUCACCGAUUAUGAGUCUCGGUACUCAAUGCUUGAGAAGUCAUGCUAUGCUUUGGCUUGGGCCGCUAGGCGCUUAUGCCAGUAUAUGUUGAAUCAUACGACUUGGUUGAUAUCCAAAUGGAUCCAAUUAAGUAUAUCUUUGAGAAGCCUGCUUUAACUGGGAGGAUUUCCCGUUAGCAGAUGUUGUUGUCUGAGUAUGAUAUUGAGUAUCGAGCUCAGAAAGCUAUUAAAGGUAGUAUCUUUGCUGACCGCUUGGCACAUCAACCAAUUGAAGAUUAUCAGUCCGUUCAGUACGACUUCCCAGAUGAGGAGAUUCUGUAUUUGAAGAUGAAAGAUUGCGAUGAGCCUACGCUCGACGAAGGACCGGAGCCUUGUUCCCGAUGUGGCAUGGUGUUCGAUGGCGCUGUUAAUCAGUAUGGAAAUGGUAUUGGGGCAGUGAUUAUUACUCCUCAGGGCACACAUUUUCCUUUCACAUCAAGGUAGACUUUCAAAUGCACGAAUAAUAUGGCGGAGUAUGAGGCCUGUAUUAUGGGGUUGGAAGAGUGUAUUGAUCUUAGGAUCAAACAUCUUGAUGUUUAUGGUGAUUCGGCCCUUGUUGUUAAUCAGAUUAAGGGUGAAUAGGAGACGAAUAAGCCUGGCCUCAUCCAAUAUAGAGAUUAUGCGAGGAGGAUUUCAACUUUCUUUACUAAGGUUGACUUCCAUCAUAUUCCUCGAGAUGAGAAUCAGAUGGCAGAUGCUCUUGCUACGCUUGCUUCAAUGAUUGUCGUCAAAUAUUGGAAUGAAGUGCCCAACAUUACUGUGAUGCGCUUGGAUAGACCAGCUCAUGUGUUUGCAGUUGAGGAUGUAAAAGAUGAUAAGCCAUGGUAUUAUGAUAUCAAAUGCUAUCUCUAAAGUCAGACUUACCUGCCUGGGGCAUCUGUUAAAGAUAAGCAGUCUUUGAGGAGAUUAUCUGGCAGUUUCUACCUUAAUGGUGAUGUGUUAUAUAAGAGAAAUUUUGACAUGGUUCUGCUCAGAUGCAUGGAUAAACACAAACCAGACCUGUUGAUGACGGAAGUCCAUGAGGGUUCAUUUGGUACUCAUUCCAAUGGACAUGCCAUGGCAAAGAAGAUGCUGAGAGCAAGCUACUAUUGGCUGACAAUGGAGUCUGAUUGCUGCAAAUAUGUGAGGAAAUGCCACAAGUGUCAGAUUUAUGCGGAUAAGAUUCAUAUUCCCCUGACACUUCUGAAUGUUAUUUCCUCACCAUGGCCUUUAUCCAUGUGGGGAAUUGACAUGAUUGGCAUGGUUGAACCAAAGGCGUCUAACGAUCACCGUUUUAUUCUCGUAGCUAUUGAUUACUUCACCAAGUGGGUUGAAGCGGCAUCAUAUGCAAAUGUGACCAGGCAGGUGGUUGUGAAGUUUAUCAAGAACCAGCUUAUAUGCCGAUAUGGUGUGCCAAACAAGAUCAUUACUGAUCAUGGAUCUAACUUGAACAACAAGAUGAUGAAAGAGUUAUGUAGCGAGUUCAAGAUUGAACUUCAUAAUUCUUCUCCCUAUAGACCCAAGAUGAAUGGGGCUGUUGAAGCUGCUAACAAGAACAUCAAGAAGAUUAUCCAAAAGAUGGUUAUUACAUACAAAGAUUGGCAUGAGAUGCUGCCAUUUGCCUUACAUGGCUAUCGUACAUUUGUCCGCACUUCAACAGGGGCAACCCCUUUCUCCCUUGUAUAUGGCAUGGAGGUUGUGCUCCCCGUGGAGGUUGAGAUCCCAUUAAUGAGAGUCUUGAUGGAAGCCAAGUUGACUAAGGCUGAAUGGGUUCAGAGUCGUUAUGACCAGUUGAGCUUAAUUGAAGAAAAGAGAUUAACUGCCAUGUGCCAUGGUCAGUUAUAUCAACAAAGGAUGAAGAAAUCCUUUGAUAAGAAGGUCAAGCCUCGUGUGUUCCGAGAAACGGUCAUUAUGUUCAAUGUAGCCCUUUUUCCAAUAUAUAUCACCAAUUUCAAAUUUGUAAAGAUCCAUGGAGUCUCGCCAUUUGCGGACUACCAUUCUAUCAAAUAAAUUUGAGCCUUUAUACAAUAUAUAUCACCAAUUUCAAAUUUGUAAAGAUCCAUGGAGUCUCGCCAUUUGCGGACUACCAUUCUAUCAAAUAAAUUUGAGCCUUUAUCCAAUUCUUUGCACUCUUAUUUGUUUCUACUUAACAGAUGUUUGCAUGUUUUAAUUGAUAAAUAUCAUUUCUUUAAACAAAUAAAGUUUUAUAAACUGUUUUUAAAUAAAGUGAACAUUCAGAAUGACUGAAAGGAUAAAUGGAAUGUGUUCAGUGCUCUCCCAAGGAAUGUAUGAUCUCCCAAAGAGUAAGACAUUUGUUCAUAUUCUGGCAUGUUUAUAUCCUCUUCAUCAUCUUUCAGGUUGUCUCCUCAGCGAGCGCAGAAAGAAUAAAACAUUAUCAAAUCCCCAGAGAGUUUGGAGUUUUGGCCUCGAUCUUUUAGAGAUGUGUAUACCUCUAUAUCAGGCACUAGCAUUUGUGUUUUAUCAAUUAUAUGGUUGUCAUCCCUUGUGUGGACUGACCUAAAAUCUCUUGUAAAUUGAUAAAAGUUGAGAUGCUAUCUAUUCACGAGGAAGUUUGUCUUUCCUCGAUAUGAGUAGAAGUCUCUAGCGGAGUAGGCAUGCGUUCCUUGCAAAGCUAUCUUUCAGAUAUCUCCUCAGAAGUAAUUGGCUGGAGCAGUUGGUGAAGGGUUUGUUCCCCCUUUUCAUCCCUAGCAUGGCGUGUUGACGAAGGAUUCACUUUCGAUUCCCUCAGCCAGGACAGUUCCUCUGGAGGUACUUGUAGUUAUCCCCAGCAGGUUGGUUUACAGCUCAUCCCUAGUAUGGUAGCCUACAGUCCAUCCCCAAUGGAGUUGCCUGAUCCUAGCUUGACAUCUGUAUCCCCUCCAUGAUUGAAGAUUUCUUCCAGUAUUGGACGGUGAUGAGGAAGACGUGUUAUUUCCUUCCCUAGCGGAGCAAUUGGUUCUCUCUCCCAUUAGCAGAGAUGUCUCUCCCGCAUUUAGAAGGGAGUGUUUUGAUUGAUGAGUAUCUGUUUGGCGGUUGUUCCCCAUGGAGUUUCAUCUCAUUCCCUGAUAAGUUCCCCAGUAGAGUUUCUUCUACGACGAACCUUAUCAAUAUCCUGUCACCUGGUCCCCGAAAAUUAUUGGAAUACCCCCAACAAUCGGAGGCGGUAACUCUGCAUGUUCCCUAGCUGCGACUUUGCCUAUCCCCAUCGGUGGUCUAUUUCUCCUGAUAUUUGAUGUUCCCCACCAGAUUUGAUUUCUCCUGUGGGCCUGGCUUUUCUCUUUUGAGAUGUUAUACCAGAUGUCCGUUCGUGACUCUUGAGCCUGUUUGUGUUAGAUAUGUCUGUCUGUCAGCAUUAAUCAUACAUAAACCACGCAUAUACAUGCAUAAUUAUAGCAUUCAGAUAUUCAUGUUGCAUUCUUUGCCAUAUAUCUUUGCUUGUUAUCUCCUGGUAUUGGUGAAAUAUUCUUCCCUAAGCAGAUGUUUGUGUCUGAUCUCUCCAUUUAGAGUCAGCCCCCUUAGGCAGAAAGUAUCUAUCUUUCCUUCUAUAUUCCCCACUGAGUUAUGUCCUCGUGGAUGAUUAUUGUUUCAGUUUCCUCCCCAGUUGUGUAUUGGGAUGGAAUUACUCCCUUGAGUUAUAUCCUCAUCGGGUUGAGUCUUGUUUAAUUAUGUCUCUCUAGUUUGGUCCUAGAUUGACUCCUUCCUUGUUAUUCCCCUGCAGUUCCCUUUGGCUUAGUUGUUCAAUUACUCAGUAACCAGUAAUUGUUCAUCUUUUUCCCAGUGGAUUUCUUUGGCCUUCUACUCAGUAACCGGUAGUCGUAAGUCCUAUUUCUAUGGUUUUCUACCCAGUAACCGGUAGAUGUAAUCCCCUCUUUGUUGGUUAUCAUUAUCCAAAUAUUUGAUAUUGAUAUUCCUUCGUUUUUGAGUAUACCACCCAAUAACCGGUGAUAUAUCUCUUGGAUGAUUGCUUUUGCCAAGAAAUUUAUCCCCCGUGAGUCAUCUUUAAUUUACCCAUGUUUGGUAAUGAUUGUUUCUCCUUCUGAUUGGUCAUCAUUUUAUACCCAAUAUCCGGUAUCCCGAUGUCCUUUCUUUUCGGUCGAUUUAUCCUUUAUUAACCUAGUAACUGGUUGUGGAUAAUCUUCCAUGCGAGUAUGUUAUCUACGUUAUGACGGUAAUAGAUAAUAUAUCUCAUGCGCUCUUCAUUCGAAGUCUUUGUUCUUCCCUAGCUGACUAAGAUUCAUAUUUCUUUGUGGAAUCGAAUGCCCAUUUUGUAAGUCGAGUUUGCUUUUUCAGCCCUUUCUUCGGAUGAUGAGUGUGUUAGAUAUGUUCCGAAUUCACGCCUGGUUGAUCACCUAUUAUAUGCCCAGUAACCGGUAUCCCUGGUGUUCCUUCCUUAUGCUCCCUAUUAUGACUUUUGUCCCCUAUGGAGUCAGAUUUUCCUGAGUUGAGAAGUGCCUUUUAGGUCUUCCUCAAAUAUUUCGGAGGAUUGAUAUCUCUCACCCUUAUACUGGUCUUAGAUAUUCUUUCUCUUUGAGCGUGUUGUUUUCUCACCCAGUAACCGGUAUUUUGAUGACAUGUCUCUCUUUGAGUUUAUUACCCAGUAGCCGGUAAUAUCUCGUUGUUUCUUCCUCAACUGAGUCCUUUGUGGACAUCUCCGUCUGAGUUCGGAUUUUUAUCCGAGGUAUCCUUUGUGGGUAGUUUCGCUGUAUUGGCAUAUUCCCCAAUAGAUGCAUCUUUGCGUCAGCUCGAGUCUUUCCAUUUAUUUAUCUUCAUGGAAUCCCUUCGUGUCUCCCAGCAAGUUUUAAGCCGUGACCUGCUCACACAUUUUACCCUUUUUCCCCAGAGUCUCUGUCUCCCUAGUGAGUGUGUUACUCCUAUGGAUUUUUCAAUUUCUCCUGAUUUCUUUCCCUUCGUAGAAAUUAUUCGUCAUGAAGAUUUAUUUUGCAUGCAUACAUUUUGCAUCAUGAGAUUUCUUAGGGACCAAAAUUCAUCUUUUUGUUAUUAUUUAAGCCCAUUCUACCUCGUCGAGACGAAGACUUUAACCUUCAUAUCUCCGACUAGAAUGACCUUAAAUAGGGGCAUUUGUAAGACCCUAAUUUUGACCCUAAUAUCCCUCAUGGCAUCAUAUCAUUGCUCAUUGCAUUGCCUCAAGGAUCAUAGCAUGUAUGGCUCCUUUACCCUAGGGGGUGAGACUUGUGUGAGUGGUUUGAGACUACCAAGCGUGCUUGUACUGUAUAUUAUUGAUUUUCUUAUUUUUUUUACUAACCAAAAGCACAAAAAUAUGUCACUAACCUUUUUUUUUUUUUUGAAGCUCUAGUGAUCAUGUGUUCACAAUGCUCCUAGGAGGUUCCUAAGCUCAAUGAAGUAGCUAGGUGAAGAUGAGAACAACCAUGACAAUGGUACGCAAAGUUAUUAAUCAUCAUAUAUGUCUCCCAAGUAUCUCAAUUUGCCAAUUUGAUCAAGAUAACCCAAAGGGCUUGAGGAUUGUUUCCCAAGGAAACCCUAAUUCAACUAUGCAUUGAUUGUGCCUUGCUCAUGAAAUAUAUGUCUCCCAAGUAUCUCAAUUUGCCAAUUUGAUCAAGAUAACCCAAAGGGCUUGAGGAUUGUUUCCCAAGGAAACCCUAAUUCAACUAUGCAUUGAUUGUGCCUUGCUCAUGAAGCAACCUCAGCCUAUGAUCAAAUUAAAUCAAGGGAAGUUAUUUCAUUCAUUAUUUUAUGCAUAUAUGAGCUUAUGUGAGUAUCCUCAAUCAUUCAUUCAUCAAGAUUUGAAGUUUGGCCUUGAGAAGUUGACUAGUCAAGUCAUCUAACUAAAUUGAGGAUCACUGAGACACAACUUAUGAUGUGUUUGUCAAAUGAAGAUGAACCCAAGAGAAAAACUAUUCAUACGAACCAUAUGAACAACUUUCAUGUUCAACGAAAAUACAUUUGAAACAUGGAAAGGAAUCAUUCAUUUCAAAACAUUAUAAGUCAUUUUGACUGAAACCCUAAUUUUGGGUCAAUUUCCCAAGGACCUAACUUCCUCAUUUUGUAUGAUUUUGAGGUGAGACAAAGUGCAUUAGAAAGCUUAAGAUGUCUAAUUUAAAUGUUAUGUUGUACAAAAUUUCAUAAUCCUAAAAGAAACACAUGUGAUAAUACAAAACAUUAUAGGUCACUUUGGACCAAAACCAUUGAAUUUGAAAAAUGUCCAACUUCAAGUGCGAAUAAAUUUCUCAUUAAAAAUCCAAAUGAUGCAAAAUUUAAGUCCAAAUUGAUCUUCGGAAAAACCUCUACAACUUUUAUGUUUAAGGUUUUUCCAUUUGAGGCUUGAAUAAUUGAAACACAAGGGCUUGAAGUUGCUUGUUUUUGGCAAAUUUUUCAAAGACAUGUUUUGUACCCAAAACUUCACAACCAGUUUUCAUAAAUUUCCAAACUCCAAAUGGAUUUUUUCCCAACAUAACUUUUUUUCCUUAUUACAAGAGAUUUCAAACCAUUACUCACAUAACCAUUUUUGGAUUUUUCAUGUCUGAGUUUCGAAGAGCUAAAUGUUUAGGUUCAAUUAUGCAACUCACAUCAUAAGUUCAUGCACAAGCCAAUGCAACUCCAAUUACACGUCCAAAUCACUUGCAUUUGAUCUCAGCUUGCAUUUUCAUUCACUUUUGGGCCUCACAUGCGCCUGCAAAGGCCCAUGCAUGGAGGAUCCAAAAUUCAUGCAAACAAGCAAAUCACCACAUUGCAUCAAGCUCAGCUAUAAAUAGAAGCUCUUCCUCAUUCAAAAGACAACCUGAAGGAGAUCUGAAACGCUACAGAAUUCAUAACCAAACCUCACUCAAAGGAAUUUCAGUUUCAUUUUUCAAUUUCAAGCUUGAAUUUCAACAUUAUUAGUUGAUCUUCAAGUCUUAAAUCCUUAGCCUUGCAUCAUCAUCACAUCUCCAGAUCAAAAUUGGAUCAAGAACUUGAGCAAAUCGUGCUAUUUGAAGAUGCUUUUCAGAGGUAUGUCACCAAACUUGUUUGAUUUGGAUCUUGAAAUACAAUGUCAAUUACUUGAGUUUGAACUGUUUUCUGAAGUCCUCGAGCAAGAGGCAGGCCAGUAGUGGGCUUAAUUUCAUGAAUCAUGACAUUUCAGAUCAAACACCGUGAUCUUCAACCUCUUGUUUCUCUCUAAAUUGAAACAUUGAGGAAGAUCCAAGGUUACAGGGGUGAUGUACAUCACCCCAGCUUCAUUUUGAUACCAUUGUUUUUCAUUUUCAUUCAGGUUGAAAUCCCUGCGCGUGGUGGCCGAAAUUAGUUGCCUGGCCGGAGAAGAUAGUGGUUUCCACCACCAUCCCCACGUGGGAGCGUCAGAGCCCUCAAAUCUCUCUCAAACGUUUUAAUCAUGGUUGUGUGUUAUGUUGACUUGUUUUAAAUACAUAUGUGGCGCGCUUGACCAAGGCCCUUCGUGCACCAGCGCCUCUGAGUCGUGUGAUGAUGCCACGUCAAUUAAUGAGACAGAUCGAAGCCCUCUGGAUUUUUGCCAUUUUCUUAUUUCUGUUUUAAUUUCUUUUAAUUCCUUUUAUUUUCAAAAAUUCAUAAAUAUUUUAUUUGAACUCACAAAAAUAUGAGACCAAUGCCAAAAACUUUCUUGAAAAAUCUAGUUUCAUAUUUUGACUUUUAAUUAUUUUUGUGACUUCAUUUAAUAUUUUUGGUGAAUUAUUUGGUUUUUGAUAGUUUUUAAUUCAUUUUAAAUACUUUUUGAUAUCUGAAAAAAUCCAAAAUUAUUUUCUUAACACAUAUGGAUCAUGAUAAGUCAAUGAAAAAUAGUCUCAUCAAUUUCUUAUUUGAUUUGAGAUUUAUUUGAGAUUUUAAUUCAUAUUGUGUUAUUUUUAUUGUUUUUAAUUAAUUUAAAAUAGUUUCUGAUUUCAGAAAUUGUUGAAAUUUUUUGUCAAAUCCUGUUUGACCAUGUUAGACCUAUGAGAAUUUAAUUGGACUUGUUGAAGUUGAUUUGAAUUGAAUUUGAGGUUUGACCAUAUUUUGUCCAUUUUUAUUUUGCAUUUAUUUUAAUCCCAAAAAAAUACCAAAAAAUAUGUUUGAUUUGUUGACUUCUAAUCUUCAUUUCUCUUCUGUUUUACAUUGGUUGAUGUUGAUUUAAUUCACUUUUGACCAAUUGUGUUUGAUAUUUGAUUUCUCUUUUAUCCAUUUCAUAUUCAUCUUAUUUCUUUUUAUUUUGGCCAAUGAGUUAAUGUCUUGAGGUUGGUUUUGACAUAUGAGAGGCUUAACCUUCUUUGAUCCGAAUCAAACUCAACUUGAUCCAAGAUCAAGUGAGUUGCUUUGUGUCCAAGAUAGGUUGCUUCUUGGUCAAGCAAAAAACCUAAAGUCCAUACAAGGCCUUUCCUCUUUUCUUUUGGCCUGGCAAGUUGUAGGAGCUUGGCUUACCAGUCAUGAUCUCUAACUUGUGUUUAUUUGCCUAUAGUUUUAUUGACCAACCUCAGAUAGGUGUGACUACUACAUUAGUCCACUUACGAUUGCUUAACAUAGCGCUAUAUUGUCUUAUGACAAAUUAACAUAAUCACUAAUUACUAACUUUAAUUUGAGCAUUUAAUUUCUUGCAAUUUACUUUAAUGCAAUUUACUUUCUUGCUCAUUUAUUCAUAUUGCUUUUUCCCUUUGCUCACUUGAGCACAUAUUUUAUGUUUAUGUCAUUUUCCUUUUGCUCAUUUGAGCUCAUUAUUGUAUAUAAAUAUAUUGUUGCCUUGUGUUUGUUUUGUCUAAUAUUUUAUGUUUAUGUCAUUUUCCUUUUGCUCAUUUGAGCUCAUUAUUGUAUAUAAAUAUAUUGUUGCCUUGUGUUUGUUUUGUCUUUGUUUGUGUGAACCCAAUGCAUAAAGGAGAAAGGACUUAGAAUUAGGAUUUACCUAUGCUUAAAGGAGUUCAAGAGAAACUAGGCCUCAUGCCUUUAGAAUGCUAAACUUGUUGAAGAGCAACUAGGCCUCAUGCCUUUAGAAUGCUAAAUCUUAAAGUUGACUUCAAAGGACCCUUAAUCUAAACUCAUUCAUUGUCCAUUCCUCUUAUUGUGUAGUGAAAUUUUUGAUGUUUGCUCUUGUGUGAUAGGGAUUCCAUCUUGAGAUAGUAAGAAGGACCAUUGUCAUGAGUAGCCAAGUUAUGAGAGACAAGCCAAAUGGAGAUCCUAGGAGCCUGAAUGUAUAUUUGUUUUGAUUGCUUGUUUCUUGCUAAGUCCAAAGGAAAGGAGCAUCUUGAAUCAUAUUUAUGAUUUCAAGAAAAGGAACUCCAAGGGUUUUAUCUCUUCUCUCAUCUUUGUAUGCUUUAGGACUAGUCCUUCUCUUCUUCUCUCCACUCUAACCCAAGCCAAACUCAUUUUGUGCAAACUUGGACAUUGUUUUAAAAUUAGAAACUUAGGCCUUAUGCCAUUGACUUUUCAAAAUCUUUUCAUUAAAACUCAUUAUAGAUCUUAAUUCAACUUUGACCUCAUUUUGUAAAUACACUUAACUUGUAAAUACAACUCACCUCAAGUGAUUUUUGUGGUUCCAAUGGCCACCUUUGUUGAAACCUUUUUCAUAAACAUUACCCAUAGGAUUUAGUUAUCAUAGUGGUUGAUGUAAUCCUCACCUUAUCCUUAGUGAUUGGAUUAUAAGUCUUCCAUACUUAUUAUAGGGUUAACCCCUCACUAGUAUGUUGAAGCUCUCCUCACAUGGUCGAUUGUUGGUUCAGGUUGAGUUUUCUCCCUUUGAUAACAAAAGACCUUUAGGCUUUUGACAAAUCAAUUCACCAAUUUUUAAGAUUUUUACCCCGAACUACGAGGUUUUGAUCCUACCUUUGUGAUGGUACGUAGGCAAUGGGUUCAUCCAUUCAAACAACAAAUUUGUAAAUAUAAUGUAUAUUCUUUUGCACAUAUUUUCACAAAUACCAACCUACAACACACAUUUUCAAAAAGGGCUCCCUUAGAGUACUAAGGAUGUUUUGGGUGCUUAGUUUUUGAUUUGAUAAAACUUCUUACUUGGAUUAUGUUCGCUUUUUAGCCUUUCCUUUGGACAAAUAAAAGUGCGGUGGCGACUCGAAUUAUAUGUUUACUUUUGAUUUAGUCAAUAAAUCAUAAUGUAACGAAUACCCCGCUACACUAAGCCUGGCCUACAAGAAAGUGAAGCAUAAGCCUAGACUAUAACUUUUCAUAGGCCUAGCCUAUAACUUUUCAUAGCUUAAAAGGCUUUAUUUAUGGCUAGAGGUUUAUUUAAAUAGAUCAGUCUGAUAGGCUUAAAAGGUUUUUUUAUGGCCAGAGGCCUAGGCUUUUUAACUAAAAUGAUAAAUUUUUGGCUAAUAUGGAGAAUUUGGAGAAAUGGAGGGGAGCAAGGAGUUAGGUGUAAAACCAUAAAUUGACCCUAAGAUCCUGCAUGCCAUCUCAUGACUUGCAUUGGCAUUGAGAUCACACCUUGGUAUCCUCAUCACCUCUCAUUCAUUGGGUUUGCAUUGGGAGAGAUCAUCAAGAAUUUGUGAUUGUAUCAUACUCUCUUAUCUCUUUGUUUAACUAACCAAAUUACCAAAAAUAUGUCUAGUAUAAUUUUGCUUCUUUUAUAGGUAGUGUGUGCAUCCACCAAUGCCUCAUCAUGUUCACAUCUAGGGUUUGAGACCCUCAAUGCAAGGGAUCAAGUUAGAAAAGGUCUAUAUUGAUUCUAGGAAUCAUAUAUGGAUCCCCAUGUUUCUUUAUUUGUCAUUUUGAUCAAGAAUUCAUCAAGAGUUUGAAGCUUGUUUGUCAAGGAAGCUCUGAUUCAUCUGGGUAUCUUGUGUGCCUUCCUCAGCAAGUUUCUUCAAUAUUUGAUCAAAGAUAUCAAGGGAUACUACAUUGAACUUUAUAUUAUGCAUAUAUGGUCCUCCGUGAUCCCUAAAGAGCAAGAUAACUUCAUGUUUACAAGUUGGUUCAAAGAGGUUGGCCAGAGAAAGUUAACUGGUCAAAUCUAGGGUUCCCUAGACCCUAUAUCCUGCAAUUGUUGUCACAUGAAAAUGAUUCCAAGAUUAAAGUUACUAUUUAUGAAAUUCCAAACAACAUUAAUGUGGGCAUCAAUAGCUAAUUUUUCGUGGAAAGUCAUAUUUUAUGGUGAAAGAUUAUAGGUCAUUUUGUUUGUGCCAUAGAUAGAAGUUCAAAUUCCAAGAACCAUAACUUCUUCAAUUUUUAUGAUAUGAAGGUAAUACAAGUUUCAUGAUAAAUUUCAAGAUGUCGUAUCCAACUUUUAUUCUUUUAGAAAGGUCAAAUUUCACUUGCAAAGGCAUGUACUAAGAGGAAACAUUAUAGGUCUAUUUGGGUCAUCAUCAUUGCACAAGCAAUUUUCCUCAACUUCUAAAAUCCAUAACUACAUCAUGCUAGAUGAAAAUGGUAUCAAAGUUGUAACUAAAUUGAAGAUAAUUGAAAGAUCUACAACUUUAAAGAAGGAACCAAAGUCAUUUGAAGCUCAUAGAAAAAGUUAUUCAUGGUGGAAAAUGGGGUCAUUUGACUUUUAACUUUGAAAGUUUUCAAGUAUAUUUGAUUCCUCCAACUUCAAUACCAAAAUUCAUCAUGAUCCAAGCUUAAAAUGGAAAAAGUUCCAACAAGAAAGUUGUUCCCCUUGGUGGUAUCUUUCCAAAGAGUCCAAGAUCAUUGCAUUUGGAUCAAAAUUGAGGGACUUGCGCAUGGUUACUUUUCAUGGCCCUAUUUGGAAACAUUCGAACUCAUUUGCUACACACCUUUGCAUGCUUCCAUGUUAUGGUCUCAACAACAUUUGUACAUGAAUUGGAAGUGGAUUGCAUCAUUAUUUGGGCCUAAUUACAUGCCCAUGCACCCAUGCACACAACUUGCUAAAUUUGGCGAAUUUUUUCAAAUGGUGUGGAAAUUAAUUCAAGGACCUAUAAAUACAUUGCCAUUUCCUCGGCAUUGAAGGAUGCUAGCCCAAGAUCCACCUUGCAAUUCGCCUAACUGUAAGAUCCCAAUUUUGGCCCUAAGAUCCCUCAUGUUAUCUCAUCAUUUGCAUUGGCUUGGGGAUCACACCUUGGUAUCCUCCUCACCCCUCAUUCAUUGGGUUUGCAUUGGGAGAGAUCACUAUAAGACCCAAAUUUUGACCCUAAGAUCCCUCAUGCCAUCUCAUCAUAUGCAUUAGAAUUGGUAUCAACACCUUACCCAUGUUUUGCUAGACUAAUUCAAACCCCCACCGCCAUAGAAUUUCUGAAGGUUUCUUUUGAAAUCGAGCUUGAACUUCAUCUUCUGUUUGAAAGUUCAAACUCCAGAAAUUCACUUCCCUUUUCAUCUCAUUUGGUUUCUGCAAGCAAGAGGAGGAGAAAGCAAUCAAAUCCAGAUCAAGAUCAAGUGGAAUUAGAUCAACUCGAAGGUGAUUUUUCAGAAACUUCUUCUUUUCGAUUCCCUCUCAAUUCUCCAUUAUUCUUCUUGAUUUUUGGUUGUUUGAAUUCCUAUCAAUGUAGGCAAGAAGAUUGAGUUGCUUUGAGGUCAAAUCGAAGCAACUCAGUUCAUGAUCCUCAAAAUUCAAAUCCAUGUAUCUUUGUAUAUACAUGGAAUCCGACAAAAUUAAGGCCAAAUUCGAGCUCUUGAGCAUUUUUUCUUUAAAUCCAUGUCUUGAUUUUUCAUUUUGGUGAUGGUUGAUGGUGGACUAGUCUGGUGAGGUCCACCGGAGAAGAAAACUAGAGCUCUGGCUUCGGUGAUGUGUUGUCAUCCAUCUCAACCAUAGGAUCCAGUUCAAAUGUUUUAAUCUCGUGCGUUGCUUUUGAUUACCAUGUGUGUGGUUCAUAUUAAUUUCAUUAUUAAUCCAAAAAAUAUGGGACUUUCACAAAAAAAAAUCAAAUAUUUUUUUCUUUUAUUUUCUGAAUUAAAAAUAUUUUUUGGAUAGUUUUGAUAUUUUUCAUGAUUUAAUUGUUUUUGUGCAUAUAUUUAAUUGUUUAAAAAUACUUCUGACUUUUCAAAAAUUAUGAAAUUUUUUGUCUAAGGUCCUUUGACCUUCAUUGACCUAGGAUAAAUUUCUUGAACAUUUAUUUGGUGUUUUGAAGAGAUUUUAGGUUUUUUAUCAAACAUAAUUUAAUUUAAAUGCAUUUUAAUUUGAUUUUUAAUUGAUUAAUUGUGUAUAAAUUGUGUUGAGCCAUUUUUAUUGACUUGUGGAGUUUGACUAUGUGCUGGGCCUUGGUCAAGGUUUAUUUGACUUUUGUUGGAUUAAAAUCAUUGGAUUUAGGGGAUUGAUGAAAUGUAUAUUUUAUCUCCCAAAAUGAAUGAAUGAUUUUAAUUUGAUAAAAUUCCUCUCAUGAAAAAUUUGUGUUUGCCUCAUCUCCCCUCCCUCUUCAUCUUCAAUUCCAUUCUAUCCUAUUCUUUCCAUUGACCAAUGACAUCUCAAUAUCCUAAGGCUAAUUGGUUCAUCAAUAACUUCAUGUUAGAUGAACCAAUACAAGUAUGCAUGAGAUUAGGUUCAUCCUUUGAUCAUUUUCUUUUUGUAUGUGGUAUGUUUUAGGAGUAUGAUUCAUUAUACCAUAUCUCUAAUAUGCAUUAACACAAACAUUUCUAUUUCCCGACCACAGAUAGUUGUGACUUCUACAUAAGUCCAAUUACGAUUGCUUAACAUAACGCAAAAUUUUGACCCAAAAGGCAUAACAUUCUAGUAAGUGAGGUUGUAAGUCUCCCCCCUUUCAUGGUAUUGUGUGAAAACUUGGCCUUUUUUCCUUCCUUUGGAAGAUGUCUUGGUUCAGGGAUCCAUGCUUGUGAAUAGAGGGUUGAGUGUUCUCCAAAGACUGAUUUAAUCAAUUAAAAAAGCAAAAUAAUACAAACAUCUAAUCAACUAACAUUUGACUAAAUUUUAUUCUUAUUGCUUUUAAUUUCAAGUCAUUUACUUUAUGCCAUUUAAAUUCAAGUCAUUUCCCAUUUUCCCUUUGCUCAUUUGAGUCAUUAACUUGUUUAUGUUUAUGCAAUUUUCCCUUUGCUCAUUUGAGCCAUAUAUUGUGAUUGUAUAUAUUUGUCUGUGUAUCUUUUUUGUGUUUGUGGUCUUAGGACAUUAAAUUACAUAAUAAACAACAAAAACCCUAAAAACUGUUUGUGUGGACUGUUGGAUGUGAUCUGAGCUUUGGACUUAGAAUUAGGCAACAUUCCCUAUGCAAAAGGACUUGGCCAAUGCCAACAUUUCUGAAACCAAGUUAUUGUGUUUGGAAGCUUUAAUCUAACACAAGUAUUAGGAUCCACUUGAGUUCAUCUGCUACAUGGUCUUGAUGCUAAUGUUAUUUUGAACCUGGAUCUAAUGCCUUAUUAUGAGCCAUUCAAGGAGUAUGUCAUCUGAUACAUGGGAAGAUUAAAAAGAAAACUAUGAAGUUGCUAGUCUGGAUGUGGAUAUCUUUAUUUGAUGCUUGGGUCUUCAUUUUUCUACUUGCUUAUUGAUAUUACUUAAUUCCAAAGUCCAAAGGAAAAAUGGGUUUCUAUAUGACAUUCUUGUCUAUUGGAUUGCAUCCUAUUGGCCAGAUCUUUUCAACUCUUAACUUUUAAUUUUGUGCUUGGGAUUAGUCUCUUCAUCUCCUCCCAUUUCUUAAAUUUCAAAUCUCUCCCCCCUUUCAAAAUCUUCUUGGCUUGUGAUUUCUAAAUUUAGACUUUAUUAUAAAUUUGAAACUUUCGCCUUAUGCCAUUGCAUUUUUGAACACUCUUCUUAAAUCAAACUUGUAAAUGAACUUAACAAUAUUGACUUAAAAUUUCAAAAGACAAAAAGAACUAACACUCAUUCAAACUCUUUUAGGCCUUUUGAGCCUCUUUUAAACUUAAUUUUUAAUUAAAAGCAAUCCACUCAUUUUAAAAUUGAUACCGCGAACUAUGAGGUUUUGAUCCCUCAUUUUUAUGUUGGUACGUAGGCACAAGUCCGAAGGUCUUGUCAAACACAAAAAUAUAAUUAAUGAAUUAUUUUCUCAUCUCCACACUCUAUUUAUUGCAAACAUCAUUUUAUACCAAAACAGAUACACACAUAAAAAAGGCCUCCCUAGGAGUACCUAGGACACUUUAGGUGCUAACAUCUUCCCUCUGUGUAACCAACCCCCUUACCUGUAACCUCUGGCAUUUUAUUAGUUUUGAUUUGAAAACUUCUUAGCUUUGGGUUUUGUUUGUACUUUUCCCUUUUCCUUUGGAAAUAAUAAAAGCGCGGUGGCGACUCUAGUUUUAUUGACGUUAAGUUUAUCCAUAGCUUAAUGGUCAUGAAUUUACCGCUACAGAAAUUAAGUGGCGACUCUGUUGGGGAGCAGUCCUUAGUGGGUUUAGCCUACUUUUUUACGUGUAUAUAUUUAUAUAUUUGAUGCUUGUGUAUUUGUUUAUGUGAUAUAAUCUGCUUGUUGUGCUUGGUGAUCUCUGAGUGGGGAGAUAAGUUCUAACCCGAACUUGAGUGCAAUUAAGAUAGGAAGAUGGUAUAGUCAUGUUCGACUUGUGUGGAGUAGUCCUUAACAAGUUGGCUUGAGACCCAUCUACUCAGUGGAGACCCUUUUGAAGCUAUUGAUGUUACACAAGUUAUUUAUAGUUAUGUAUUACUUUCUCUGAUUUGGGGUGCGAGAAGCUGAGGACCGUAAAACAUUUAACCCCACUUGGCCUAUUUAGGACGUAGUGCGGAGACUGUUCAAGUGUAGACUUGAUAAUAGUUGUUUCACGAUACUACGCUCAGACGAGUUUCUCUUGAGAAUAUUAUGGGUUGAUGAGUCAGUCAUCCUAACCUAUAAUAUCCGAUGAAUGGAAUUAAGGCUCUGGGAACUUUUUAGAACAUGAUCUACAGGUUUUUAUCCCUAGUACACUCCUUUUGGAUGGUUCUUAACCCGACUCCAUGCUUGUGACUCACAACAAACCCUUGAUUCUUGGUUGAUCCAAUCAAGCCUUGUCAAUAUCAGUGGAACUGAGUGUUGAUAAGGUGAAAACCAUAAUCCACCAAAAUGGAUGAUUGAUCUUGACAAUGACUUGAUUCAUCCCUUGAUCUUUGUUUGUUUGCCUUGCGUGUGAUCCCUUAUUUGUGAUUGUUGCAUCCAUGCAUUCAUGCGCAUCAUAACAUUCAUCACACGAAAAGUAACUUCAAGGAACUGAGGUUUUAUUUGCAAAUAUUUUCAGACCAUGGACGGUGGACGAAGGAACACUAAGAAGUACAGUUUCAGAUGUCCCGAUUUGGAAGAGCUAAGGAAGCUAUCAUCUUUUGUAUUAGAUCCCUUGGACUUCAAGCAACUUCAUGGGAAGCUUUUAUUUGUAUUGUCUACUGAUGUGGUUGAAGGACUCUUGAGUGUGUUGAUUCAGUUUUAUAAUCCUUUCUACUGUUACUUCACUUUUCCCGAUUACCAGCUCAUGCCUACGUUAGAGGAUUACACCCAUCUCUUGGGAAUACCUAUUUAUGACAAGCUACCUUUUAAUGGAUUGGAGGAGAUUCCCAGAUCUCAUAUUAUAGAUGAAGCUCUUCAUCUGAAGAAGUAUGAGAUUAAGGCUCAUUGGGUGAAGAAAGGAGGAAUGUUUGGGUUGACUUUUGAGUUUCUCAUUGGGAAAGCUACUGCCUUUGCUCAAGCCGGUAGUGUGGAUGCUUUUGAAUCCAUCUUUGUGUUUCUCAUAUAUGGUUUAGCUUUGUUCUGUAACAUCGAUGGUUUUGUUGAUGUUAACGCUAUUAGAAUUUUCUUAAUUGGAAAUCAUGUGCCUACUCUAUUGGGUGAUAUGUACUUCUCAUUGCAUCUAAGGAAUUCUAAAGGUGGUGAAACUAUUAUGUGUUGUGUUCCUCUUUUAUACAAGUGGUUUAUUUCACACUUGCCUCAGACGCCUGCUUUUGUGGAAAACAAACAAUGUCUACGAUGGUCUCAGAGACUUAUGUCUCUCACUAAUGAUGAUAUUGUUUGGUAUGAUUCUUCAUUGAGUAGCUUGGACAUUAUUGAUAGUUGUGGUGAAUUCUAUAAUGUACCCCUCAUUGGUACACAAGGAGGAAUCAACUACAACCCUGCUUUGACUCGUCGUCAACUUGUGUUCCCCUUAUGAGACAAACCUAAUAACACUCAGUUAGAAGGUAUUUUAUAUCAAGAGGGUAAAGAUCCCCAACAUUUGAAGAAGAGGAUAGUACAUGCUUGGAAUAAUGUGCACAGGAAAGGAAGAUCAGAGCUUGGUCCACGCAACUGUGUAACUUUGGAAGCUUACACUCUUUGGGUGAAGAAAAGAGCUUCGGAGUUGAAGAUGCCUUAUGCUUGUGAGAGACCCAUGUCUAUGGUUGUGGCUGAGCCAUUAACUCUCCCUAACCAAGAUGUAGAGGAGUUGGAAGACACACUUGCCAAGACGAAGCAAGAGAAGGACAUGUGGGAAGAGCGAUUCCAUGCUUUGAGCCGAAAGCAUGAGGAGUUGCAACUUGAGUCUAAAGACAAGGAUGCACUUAUUGAACUUCUUGAAGACCAAGUAGUGACGAGACAAAGAGAACCAGAGGGUCCAUCUUUCUCAGUAUGCCUCAGCCUUCCGGUGCUUGGAAGAAGAUUGUUGAUCAACUUGUCCGUGAGAAGGCUCAGAUGAAGACUUCUUUUGAGUCUGAGAUUCGAUGCAUCCGAAGGAAGUAUGCACCUGCAGCCAGAUCAUCUGAAACUGUUGUUAGGAGAUCCUUAGGAUGAUUGGUUUCCUUUUCUCUUGUACUCGUAUUUUGGUUUCUGAAAUUGUACUCAGUGUAAUCCUUCUGAAUUUUAUGAAUAAAAAAUAUUUUUAUGGUCAAUCAAAUUGUUAUUAUUAUAUAUUUGUAAGCAAAAUAGUAUGUUCCUUGAAAAAUAAAAACAAUAAAAAAACAUUGCAUUUCAUGCACCAUUUGCAUAAACAGGUUUCUUCUUCCAGAUGUCUUAUCGGUUAUUCUUCUGUGCUUCAGCCAAGAUGACUCACCGAUACAACACUUGAGCCAAUCAAUCAAUAAUCAUGGAACAUUUGGAGUAAGAGAACCGAGAGUUGAAAGAUGAGAUUACUCGCUUGACCGUUAUGAUAGAGUCUGUCCUAACUGCUCAAAAUCAAUGUUCUCCAACUCGUGCAACUCCUCUUCCUCAAAGGACUGUCAUGUAAGAGGUUGUUACCUCAAGUAUGCCUGCUACUCAACCUGGUCUGACUAUGCUUGACGUAUUUCAGUGGGGGAUGCCACCAAAUUUUUUGCCUGAAGGGUUUGCGCCUACUUUUUCUUCUAUGCCGACAUCUAGCCCGGUCGUGUCUGUUCCGCCUCCAAUUGUUCAGACUUUGCCUUGUGUUGAGGAUACCAUCUACCAUUUCGAGCCGUCUGAGGGUCCGGAUGUUUAUGAGAAGAUGGACGAGAUGAAGGAUCAGUUCCUUGAGCUGCGAAAAAAAUUGAAGACGUUGAGAGGAAAAGACUUGUUCGGUAAGAGUGUUGUUGAACUUUGCUUAGUGCCGAAUGUAAAGAUCCUGAUGAAGUUCAAAGUCCCUGACUUUGAAAAGUAUAAGGGAAAUACUUGUCCACUUAGCCAUCUCGUCCUAUCCCCAGCAGAGUCGCCAACUGAAGCUGGGGAUACUUAAGAAGAGACUCCCAACUACAAGCAAACUCCCCAGCAGAGUCGCCAGCUGAAGCUAGGGAUACUCAAGAAGAGACUCCUAAGUACAAGAAAACUCCCCAGCAGAGUCGCCAGCUCAAGCUAGCGGAAAUAUACCCGAACGUAUCGCACGCUCGAACAUAUAACAGAGUCGCCAUCGAACUUUAUUUAUCCCCAAAAGGAAGGGAAAACAUCGAUAAAACCAGGGGGGAAAGAGAUAUGCUGGGUAAGGAAGUCGGUUAUGCAAGGGGAAGGUAUUAGCACCCCAAACAUCCAUGGUACUCCAUGGGAACCACUUUGAUUAUUCUCGCUUGAAAGGGUGUUAUAUCUAAGAUUACUCGCAAAAUAAUGAAGGGAAAGGAGGAGAAAUGUGAAGUUCUGUUGAAGUUCUAUUGAAGUUUUGUUGGCGAGGCCAUCGAUUGUAUCCGUUGGGUUUAGGGAUUUUUCAGGAAUUCUUGAAGAUGGAUAUUAAUGAUAUUUGCGAGUUAAUCUAACAAUAGCAACCAAUUAACAUUCAUUUCAUUCACAAACUUAUUUGACCUUCAAUUAUCGACAAUAUCCAUCUUCAAGAAUUCUUGAAAAAUCCCCAAACCCAACGGAUACAACUGGUGACCUCGCCAAUAAAACUUCAACAGAACUUCAACAAAAUUUCAACAGAACUUCACAUUUCUCCUCCUUUCCCUUCAUUCUUUUGCGAGUAAUCUUAGAUAUAACACCCUUUCGAGUGAGAACAAUCAAAACGGUUUCCAUGGAGUACCAAGGAUGUUUGGUGUGCUAAUACCUUCCCCUUGCAUAACCGACUUCCUUACCCAUAAUAUCUCUUUCCCCCCGGGUUUUACCGAUGUUUUCCCUUACCUUUAGGGAUAAAUAAAGUUCGAUGGCGACUAUGUUGUAUGUUCGACCGUGCGAUACAUUCGGGUAUAUUUCCGCUAGCUAGCGGAAAUAUACCUGAAUGUAUCGUACGCUCGAACAUACAACAAAGUCGCCAUAGAACUUUAUUUAUUGCCAAAGGGAAAGGAAAACAUCGAUAAAACUCGGGGGAAAGAGAUAUGCUGGGUAAGGAAGUCGGUUAUGCAAGGGGAAGGUAUUAGCACCCCAAACAUCAAUGGUACUCCAUGGGAACCAUUUUGAUUGUUUUCGCUCGAAUAGGUGUGAUAUCUAAGGAUUACUCACAAAAUAAUGGGAAAGGAAGAGAAUAGAUAAAGUGCUUGGUGUGGAUUAGGGCCCUCAUGCCUACGUAUCUUCAUAGUGCAAUGAAGAAUUCAGAGCUUCAUAGUUCAAGGAACUAGAGGCGGGAGAUGUAAGGAACGGUAAAUGAAGGUAGUGUACGAAUGUAUCGUGGAGAUGAACAUUGUAAAGUGACCGAAGUCACAAAAUUGGGGUAUCUAGUGAUAAGUGACCGAAUAAGUAUUGUUUGAAAUCGAAAGGUGAAAGUGUAUUAGAAUCCAUAAGAGAGAUGAGAUUUCUACCAUAUACGGAAAUAACUUUAACCGACACAUGGACUAGCAGGCCGCCACUAUAGGUUUUUAGCUAAAAAGAAGGAAUUAAGUGUUUGGGUUAAGGGCCAAACAACUCUAGGUAGAAAUACGGACUAUUCGUUAGGCGUCCUAAAAGGGUGUAUAUGGAAUUCGAAUGAAAGUGUAUCUCGAUGUCAAAGAGACGGAUAUGUCACUGGGUGAACGAUUUAUGAUCGGAGGUAGGUAGUGGAUAGUGAAAUAUAUGAGUGAUGCCCUAAGGCGAAUGAGGAAUAAUUAGAAGUAUUUUGGAGAGAAUACAUGGACACUUCGAGUCAUGCCUCCCGUUCCAGCAAUGUUGACGAUUUCUGUGUCAGGAAUGCAGAUUUCUUUUCCUCCCAGAUACGUUGUAGUCUCAUAAUUCCAAGGUACUGCCUUGGCAAUCUGAUAAGGGAACGAAGUGGGAACACGAAAAUGAGUCGGCUGAAUCCUCUUGGUAUGAGCUUCAACCUUCUUAUUUAUGUAUACAAUUGUUAUUGGUUCAAUUACGGCCACCUCUUCUGCUGCUUUAGACACGGAGAACUGUAUUAAACCUUGAUCCAUCAGUUCUUGCAUACAACCCCUCAGCUUGUCGCAGUUGUCCGGAUCAAACUCACAUACUGCACAAUCAUCAUGUACACCUUCUAGAAACCUAAACUGUUCAAGCCACUGUAACACAACUGACAUCAGAGUCUUCACCUCUUCAGCCCUUAGUGUGGAUUCAACAUUUUCUUAUUCGAUCACAUCGUUGACUGCUGCGCCAUCAUGGUUUGGAAAGGGGUUAGUCUUCAUGUUAGGCUUUUCCUCGGAGAAAAACAGGAUCUCUUGAUUAAUUAACUCUUGGAUCCUCUUUUUGAGAGCCCAACAGUCGUCGAUGGAGUGUCCUAUAUACCCUGCGUGGAAAGUGCAUGUGGCAUUAGGAUUGUAACUGCGAUUAAAGGGAGGAGAGGCUGCUGGGAGUUCUUUUGGUACGAUAGCCCCCACGUGGAUCCAAUAUGGCACCAACUCUGCAUACGGUAUCAGAAUCUUAUCAAAUUGGGGAUGAUUACCAAAAUUGCUCCUAUUAUUCUGACCUCGACUUUGUCCUUUGUUAUCACAAUUGCAUUGCUGGUUCGGAUUUCUCCGAGCGGGUGUUGAUUGUUGAUUACCUUUUUACGGUUGGUAUUGGAAUGGAGGUUACUGAUUUUGAGUUGCGACGACGUAUGGAUACGGAUAAUACAACAUAGGGCCCAUCGGAAAUUGAUAUUGGAGGCGAGCACUCGCCAUCACAAUGUUUGCUUCCCCCUCCUUCUUUUUUUGUGAAAUCCCCAUAUGGCCUCUUGUUUGUUGUCUGUGGAGCGGUCGUGUCUGUGAUUUUCCCAGAUUUUCAGCCCAUUCUCUACACGCUCCCUAAUGGUUACCAUAUCAGUAAAAUUUGUCGAUGAACUGCUGAUCAUCUUCUCAUAAUACAGCCCUUGCAGUAUACCCAUGAAGAUAUCUACCAAUUAGUUGUCAGAUAAUGCUGGCUGGACCCUAGACGCCAUUUCGCGCCAACGUUGAGCAUACUCUUUGAAGGUUUCAUUAGAUCUCUGUGAUUGAUUCUAUAAUUGAAGCCUUGUCGAAGCCAUGUCAAGGUUGUACUUAUAUUGUUUCAAGAAUGCCUCAGAUAAAUCCCUUCAUGACCAGAACUUUGUGUGCUCCAAACCCAUGUACCAAUCCAAGGAAGCCCUAGACAGGCUAUCCUGGAAGUAAUGUGUCAGGAUGUUGUCAUUAUCGAUGUAUGAGGCCAUUUUCCGGCAGUACACGGUGAUGUGACUGCGGGGGCAUCUGAUGCCCUUGUAUUUUGCAACGUCAGGGACCUUGAGUUUCUGCGGGAGUACCACGUUUGGGACUAAGCAGAGGUCUCGGACGUCUAUGCCGAAGGCGGAGAAACCCUCGAUGGCCCUUAUUAUGUCAUCCAAGAGCUGAUAAUCCACAGGUCUGGCUGGAUUGGCAUCAGAAGGAGCGACCUGACUGGCCGGUCGGGAAGUUUCGGGAGUAAUCUAUGCGGGCAUGUUUGGGGUAAACCACAUUUAAGGCGGGUAAGAGAAACCCGUAGGCACGGUUUGGGCAGCAUGAACCGUCUGAGGAUACUGUCCUCCAGCCUGAGGAUUGGGAGCCUGAGGUGCCCCUGUCUGCACAUGUUGGAGUGCAUGAUUGGUAGGUACGUAGGUCAGCAUGGGCAUGGAGGUUGCCCCAGGAUAACCAAAUGGAACAGACGGGGAACUGACUUGUGCUCGCAGGUUGAGCAGUCUGAGCGGGGAUUUGAAAAUGGAGGUGCGGGCCUCGGUAGUCAUCCUCAGUGUUAGGGGUGUCGUCAGGGACCUGACCUUGGUUAGUCUCUGGGUUGGCAGCAUCGACCAUAGGAGUUUGGGCAGUGGGGACACCCCACGGGAAACUAGUGUUUCCAGCAGCAAUAGAAGCAGAGGGAGUCAGGUGAGGGAAGAAAGCCCCCCCAUUGGUGAGAUGAGCAGAAAAGUGUGGGGGCAUUCCCCAAGGGUAGGCAGCAGCAAGCCUAGUUGAGUCAGCAGAGACCAGUUGGCGAUUUCUAGUGGUUGGCACCAUAGUCUCCGCCGGAGUUUUGAUGGUAGUGCCAACAGCAGUAGUAGGAUUGGUCACCCCAGCAGCAUGAGUGACAUUGGUAGCAGUAGAGGCAGGGGGCCUUUGAGUUUAGAUAAUUUCCAGGAUGGUCUCCAUGUUUCCCCUGAAGAGAUUCAACUCUCCUUGGACCUGGGCGAGGGAUUAACAGACAGUAGCACUGUCAACUUCGUAAUCAACCAUUAUCCUUGAUUUUUUUGAGCGCGUGAAGUACUGAUGACGAGUCUUCUGCUGUGGAAAAAUGGCGAGAGUAAGCAUUUUGUUUUAUGGCGACUUAUGAUAAAUAAAUGCGUGAAUGCAUGUAUGUAUGCGAAAAGAUUGAUGUGUACAUUGAUUUUUUAUUCAUUUUUUGUAAAGGAAAACAAUUCCAAGGAAUCCGUGAGUUUGUUUAUUUAACAUAAUUGAAUACAAAGCAUAAAGAGAGACAAUUUAUGAAGCCAAAAGCCGAGAAACACUUUUAAUAAAUAUUGAGAAGAUGGAAUAUAAGUACAUAUCAGGGAACUGCCCUCUGGGCUACAAGAGUAUCAACAUUGACCCUAUCAGACAUCAACCUAGUGAAUCAAAAAUCAAACUUAAAGAGCAGCAAUUAGAAACAUCUUGAUAACAACUCUUCGUAGUAAGUCUGAGACUUCGGGGACAAGCAUGCGCCCCAUUUUCCCAAUAUUGCACUCCCUUCAGGUGGUAGGUCGUGAUUAAGUUCGCUUGGAACGCUGCUCAUGAUUGUUUUCUCUCGGUUGGGGAGAUCUUCAAGAUUCCUAUUCACUUGUGGCAGUAGGCUGGUGUCUUCCAGGUUCUUAUGUGAUUUCUCUUUUAGCUCGCAAAUCUCUUCUAGUCUCUGGUUCAGCUCGUAGUGAUUCUGGCGGAGAGUGACUUCUAGCUGCUUAGUGCGGCUUUGCUCAUCCUUCAGCUCUUUCUUAUAAGCUUCUAGCAGACUUUGGAGUUUCUUGGUUUGUUCCAUGUGAUCGAGCUCCGCUUUGCUAGCCCGAUAUUGAGUUUCGGAUAAUUUCUUCUUCUUGGCUGUCAAGCUGUCAUAAGUCCUUUUGAGUGUGUCACCCACUUUAAGUCUUUUGAAUACCUCUGUUUGCACCUCAUCAUCUUCCUGACGAACUCUAUCUCUCUUCUGAUUCAUAUUGAACUUCAAAGUUCCUUUCUCCAAGGAGAUCUUACCAAGUCUAGAUUUGAGAUCAUCAUUCUUCUUCUCUAGGGUCUUGAUAAUCUUUUUCAAUUCAUCGACUUCAGAAUUUUGAUGGAUUACUGGUUCAAGAGGCUUGACAUUCAUCGACGGUUCAGGCGGAAACGGCAAAAAAAUUCUCACUAACUCUGUCUUUGACCCAUCUGGUGUAAGCUUCCUUGGCAAUGCAAUUCUUCUUACCCAUCUCUGCUCUUCCUUGAGGACAAAUUUCUCCCUAAGCCUUGACAAUCUUCUUGACUAUUUCUGGCUCUUUGACCCCUUCAUAUAAGACGAAACCUUCUACACUCUUGAGAUCAGGCUUGCCCACCAUAGGGUACCCCAGUCGUCGUACUGCUAACCUCAGAUUGUAAUUGAUUCCCCCUUUUGUACCAAGGAGAGGUACAUUAGGAAAAUCCCCACAGUUGAGGAUAAGCUUGACACCGUCGUAGAUUCGAGAAUACCAAGAAAUGUCUUAAGCGUUAAAGGACAUGAUCCACUGGGACCACUUCAAGUUGUCUUUGUUCUCAACAAAAGGGCCUCUGCUGGGUAGAUGCGAAACAAACCAUCUAUACAACAAAGGGGCACAACAGAUGAUAGUUCCUUUCUUCUUUUGAGUCCUCACAUGGAUGGAGUAGUAAGUAUCAACAAGAAGAGUAGGAAUAGGAUUCUGAGUUAGGAAGAUAUGAAUGGAAGCCAUAUCUACGAAUUCCUCCAUAUUCAGAAACAAUACGAUCCCAUAGAUAAGUAGAGCUAUUUUGGCGUUGAAGGCCGUCCAACUCCAAGCUUCGGCGAAGGCAAUAGCUUUGUCUACUAGAAACUUAGAGGUGAAUCCAUGAACUCCACCCUUGGGCUUCAAGUUUAAUUCCACUUCCUUCUUUCCUAUGUGUAGAGCUUCAACAAUGUCUUGAUAUUUGGGAAGUUCCUUAGUGCGAACAUAAGGCAUUUGGUUCUUGAUCUUAAUACCCAUAAUGUGUGAAUAAUCUUCCAAUUUAGGUGCCAAUUGGUAAUCUUGGAAUGUGAAGCAUUUCAGCGGAGGAUCGGAGAAUUGCACCAGAGUGUGCACAACAGUGAUGUUGACUUCGGUGUUCAGAAUGCCCAAAAGGUUACCAUAAGACCCCUUGAAAUCAUCUUUGUGCCCCAGAUCUAAAUGUGCCCCAAGUCCUCUCAAGACAGCCAACUGAGGUUCCACGAACUUGUAAUUAUGAAUGUUCUUUCUCUCAGGAUUCAUGCUUUGCUUUGAAUGCUUGGUAAACAAUCUGGACUCUUGGAUUCCUGGAAAAGAAUGCAUAUGCAAAAAAUUUGUCAUGAUGAAUGAUAAUGUGAUGAUGGGAUGAUAUAAGUCACAUGGAUUCAAAACUUUGGUAUAUUCUGAACGAUCUGUAUAUGUUAUUUGUUGCAAGUUCAAAGGUUCGACGUAACAUGAGUAUCAAGGUAGGUAGAGUAUAUGGUUUCCUGCAAUAAAAACCCAUAUCCCCCUCACAGGUGUGGACUAUGCUCCAAGGUGGUCCAUAGAAGGUCUCCCAGAGUCAUCGACUCGAAAUGGAAAUACCUUGUCGUAGUGAAUACUCACAGGACAAAAGUACUUUCAAGUGAAUCUAGUCUGGGUGUGACUCUCGUGACAACCCAACGCGUGAAAUGCAGGCGUACACGACUAUCCACGAGUCUAACCUAUAUGUAUACUAAGCUCGGUUACAAAGCUUUCCUCUCAUGUAGUCUAUCCCAUCCCAACAACAACAUAACAAAUAAUAUCCAUAAUAUAAAGCGAAUAAGAAAUGCGAUAAAUAAAAGCGAGUAAAUCUAUAAAGGUAAGCACGUAAAACUAGCGAGAGAGCAACCUAAACUAGGCUCGGCUCCUUUUAGCAACUAAGAAGUACUCCAAUUAGUGAAGUAUCCCUAGCAGAGUCUCCAGCUGAAGCUAGCGGAAAUAUACCUGAAUGUAUCGUAUGCUCGAACAUACAACAGAGUCACCAUCGAACUUUAUUUAUCCCCAAAGGGAAAGGAAAAUAUCGAUAAAACCCGGGGAAAGAGAUAUGUUGGGUAAGGAAGUCGAUUAUGCAAGGGGAAGGUAUUAGCAUCCCAAACAUCCAUGGUAUUGCAUGGGAACCUUUUUGAUUGUUCUCGCUUGAAUAGGUGUGAUAUCUAAGGAUUACUUGCAAAAUAAUGGUAAAGGAAGAAAAUAGAUAAAGUGCUCAGUGAGGAUUAGGGCUCUCAUGCCUACGUAUAUUCAUAGUUCAAUGAAGAAUUCAAAGCUUCGUAGUUCAUGGAACUAGAGGCGGGAGAUGAAAUAAAUGGUGAUAGAAGUAUGGUUUGAACCAAAGGAUAAUGAUUUGAACUCUAACAAGGGUGAAAAGAUGAACCCUAGAGUAAACAAGUAUCAACCAACAAGUGAGGGCCUAUAACGCUUUAUCAC